rnacentral:lncRNA from 1 species
GCAGCCGCAAUUGAACGUUAAGCCACAAUAAGUAAACUAUAAUAAAACAACAUAAAAACAUAACUAAACCGGAAAAAAAAAAAAAAAAAAAAAAAAAAAAAAAACCCCAAAGACAAUUUGCUUAAAGAUCAAUACCUUUGGUUGUAUAGGAGCUCCAUUUGCGAUCUGUUUGGGAGAAUGAGAUUUUGGCAUCGACUCAAUUGGAGAAUAAGCCCGGAGAGAAGGAAGAGAUGGAAGUUUAGCAGAAGGCCUAGAUGGGUUCUCAUGUUUGCAGGAGACUGAGUUGACUCGCCUGGACUCAAGGCGUGGAAAAGGGAGGAAGCCGAGUUUAGGGGAGUCGAUUCGCCCGAGUCUAGGAAGAAAGGGACAGGGUUUGAGGUUGAGUUUGAUAGAAGUUGGAGAAGAAGAGUAUAGAAGCCUCUCCAUGGCCUCUCUCUCUCUCCUCUUUGUCACUCUCUGUUUGUGCUUUUUGUGGAGAGGUUUUACAGGGAAAGACUUUGAGGGAGACAAAGAAGGUGGGUUGGUGAGGAUAGCGUUUUGGCUGAGAGGGUUAACGGAAAAUUGAAAAUUCGGAUAUUUUCAAAAUAAAGUAAUACUGUUAAACAGUUUUUUUCUCUUUCUGUGUUUGAAGAAUACUAAAAGCUCUAAUAAUUGAUUUUAAUUUUUUAAUUUUAAUGUUUAACCAUGAUUUUUUUUAAAUUUUUAAUAUUAAAUAUAAAUAUGACUAGUAAUUAUCAUAAUAAAUGAGUUUAAAUAUUAGUAAUUUAAUAUUAUAGUUUAAAUGCACUUUUUUUAUCUAUUUUAAUGUUUCCUCUUUGUUUCAGUUUUUAUAUAUAUUAGUGCUUUUAUAACACAUAUUGCAAGUUGUCGUUAUUUGUUUUUUACUCAUUAUGCUCGUUCAUUAUUAUUUGUUAUAAUAUUAAGAUUUGUUAUAAUUUUUUUCAUAUUUUUUUAGAUUUUUAUAUAACGUAAAUAAAAUGACUAAAUAAUCAUAUUUUAUAUAUAUGUACUUUAAUUCAAUUUAUAAAUCUAACAUGUAUCUACAUUGCACUUUAACAGCACAUAGUACCACAAUGCUACUCAAUAAGUACGUUGUAAUGUAUAUACGUGUACGUAUACAAAUUUCUCCAUAUAUUUAAGAAUUAAUAACAUAUUCAUUUUUUAUCUAGCCAAACAAUUUUAAAAGGCAAUAUAUAUAUAUAUAUAUAUAUAUAUAUANNNNNNNNNNNNNNNNNNNNNNNNNNNNNNNNNNNNNNNNNNNNNNNNNNNNNNNNNNNNNAUAUAUAUAUAUAUAUUAUUUCUCUCCUAAUUAAAAACCUUUAAAUUAUAAUCAAAUAUUAAUUAUAUAUUUUAACUGGUAUUUAAAUUAAAAUUUUUAAUUAAAUAUUUUAAAUUACAAUCAAAUAUUAUAUAUGAAUUUUUAUUUAUUUGAUUUUUUAAUUUUUUUCUUAUUUCUCUCCUAAUUAAAAUAUUUUAUUGUAUUAUAUAUAUUGUUAUAUUAAAAUUUUUGUUCACCAUAUCAAAUAUUUUUAAAAUAUAAUUAUUAUAUAUUUGUUAAAAUUUAUGUACUCAUCACGCUCUAGUAUCUUUUAAAUUAUAAUCAAAUAUUAUAAUUAAAUAAUAUAUAUUUUUAAAUUAGAUAUUUCUAAUUACUAUUUAAAAUAUCUUAAAUGACGAUGAAAUAUUAAAUUUAAACUUUUAUUAUUUUUUCUUUUUCCUUAUUGUUCUCCUGAUUAAAACCUUUUAAUUAAAUUACAAUUAAAUCAAAAAAAUUUUUAUAUUUUUUAAGUUAAAAAUUUUUUAAGUUAAAUUUUUAAUCAUGAAAUACUAUUAUGUAUGUUAGUGCAAAUUUCAAUAUUUUAAGAAAUCUCAUUAUGUUUCACUUUUUUUAUAUAUUUAUAUACAGUAUUUAUAGAGAAAUUAUUAUUAUUAUUAUUACUCCAUUAUUUAUGGCUUUGAUGCUUAUUAGUUAUGAUAGUUGCGUGGCCCAUUAAAUUAUCGUUGACUAUACUAAAAUAAAGUAGCGGUUUCUGUUUGGCCACAACAAACCCUUAUAAUAAUCAGGUCCCUCCCGAUGGUUUAUGGUUUAUAUAUUUUGUCAUGUAAAUAUAUACAAAUGUAAAGCUAUCUUAUUUAGGGUCUAUCCACGGCACUAGUUGUUAUAGAAGUUGUUAGUUGUUUUAGGAGCCGUUAACCAUUAGUUAUUUAUAUAGUAGUUAAAAUAAAAGUGUUUGCUAAAAAAAUAACUGUUUGAUUAGCUGUUAUAAAUCAAAUGACAAAAAAUGACAUUGAAAUGUUGACUUUAAAAAUUGAUAUAUAUAUAUAUAUAUAUAGAGUAGCAAGUGUUUUUUUUCUUUUCUAAAUUAUUAUCAUUUUUUUUUUUAUAGCAAAAGAUUAUUUCUUAUAGAAUUGAAAUGAAAAAACUAAAAAAUUAUUUCUUGUAAUUUUUAUUUUAAGGUAAUAAGAAAUAACAAAAUAGAAUAAUUAAAAAUGACAUGUGAAACGCUAAAUGUUUGGAGAUUUAACAUUUAAUGAAACGAUGCCUAAUUUCUAAAUGUUAAUAUAAAUAUUAUAUUACCGAAAGAUGUAAUUAAUAGAAUAAUGUUGUUGUCAAGUAAAUCCUUAUUCCGUUUGGCUGAUAUGAUUUUUUUUUUUUUUUUUUUUUACUUCAAAAAAUAUUUUGAAGCUUUCCCAUUUUCAUGUUGAGUUGAAGCUUUCAUUCCACGAAAGAAUCAAAGUUCAGAAAUAUAAGUUUUUAGUUUAUCCCUUAAAAACUCCAUUUUUUAAAGUUAAAUAAUAGUUUAUUAAAUUUUUAUACGGAAAAGAGAAAGUUAAAACAAUGAAAUUAGGCUUCAAAAAUAAAAAAUUUUUUAAUUUUUUAAAAUUUUUCGAAACAUAUCACAAUCAGUUCAAUUUAAAUAAUUCGAAAUUGAUUGCUAAAUCAGACGUAUGGACUGCUGAAUUGAUUUAAAAUCAUAAAAUUCAUAAUUCCUAUUGACAUUUAUAAUCAAUAAUACCAUUUAGAGGGAGACCUUCAAAUUGCAUAAUUAAUUUAUUUUUUUUUUAUUUAUUGAAAGGCUUAACGGGUCAAGUUAAUACUGUGAGCUACACAAUAUAAAUAACAUUCCUCUGAAUUAACCAAAUUGGUAAAAACACUUAUAAUCGGGAGAACUCGAACUCGAAACCUCUCACUUCGUAUAAAUGAGAAGAUCAAUAAUACCACACUCCUAAUCGGUAUUAAUUUUUUUUAACAGCAUAAUUAAUUUCUUAUAAAAUGAGAGAGAUAUAAUAAAUAAGCUCUAAAUUAAUAAUUGAUACAAUGAGCCCAAAAGCGAAUUUGUCGAGGUGGCUAAUAGGAUAACAGAUAGAUUCAAUUACUUGGAGGUUUCCAAUUGUGAGAACAAAAGCUUUGAAUAUAUCAAACAGGAUAACUUAUCCGGUAGCCAUUUUUUUCAAAAAAAAAAAAAAAAAAGUGCAUAAAUUAAAAAGUCCACAUAUUAACACGUCAAACUUUGCGGUUGCGCUCACGCUAACACGCAUUCUCAAGGCGCCUCCUUGCGCUCGGCACACGCACCCAAUAGAUACUCCGCACGUUCAAUUUAAGAAGGCAGUGGACAGUUGUCCAUAUUAAUUCAAUUUUAAGAGCGAACACACUUGUCUACACCAGCUGUAUUAGCACAUCAAUACAAGAAAUAAAUAAUUAGUUGCGAUUUGAAAAAAUUAUUUUAACUAUUUUGCAGAACCGCAUAACACCGGUUCAAAUCAAAUCAAACCGAUGUUAAAUUGUGAUUUUAAAAGUUAGUGAUUUGAUUUGUAAAAUUUAAAGAUUUAGGUUUUAGUUAAAUUUAUGGUUUUAUAUUUAAAAUUGUGCAAAUCGCACCAAAAUGUUUUAUAUCUAUAAAAACUUUUAAAUGCUAAAUAAUUUAGUUUAAUUUUUAAUGAAAAAUUUCUCUGCAUUGCUUAGUUUGUAUUGCAUAAUAAUUAUAUAUAAUUUCAUAUCAUUUAAAUAAGUUAUAUAAUUAUAUUAUUUGUAAGUUCAAAUGUCAAAUAUUUUAAAAUGAUGACUAUUCACUGCUUAGUUUUUUUUUUUAAUAUUUAAAAAAAACUAAAAUAGAUACACUCAUUAUCUACUUUUCUUUUUCACUUGUUUCAAAUUAUAAUAUUUUUCAAAAAAAUAAUAAUUUUUGUAGUUUAUUAUUUUAUCUCUAUUUAAUGUGUAUUUCUUCCAACAAAUAUGCCACUAUUAUAAUUAGCUAAAUCUUGAAAUAAACAAAACAAGGUCACUAUUAUUGUCACAUAUAUUAACCAACCUAUUUUUAAUUACAUUUAUUCUUGUAUUAAAAACUUACUGGUAUUAGAACCCGCGCGAUGUAUGAAACAAUAUUAAAUAAUGAAAUAACAUCAUUCAAAAAUGAUCGUAAUCAAAAUUAUAUCUCAUUAAGAUAUGCAGAAAAUGUUGGAAUGCUAAGAUGUGUCUUUUUAAGUAUCCUCUAAAGCAUUUCACUAUGAUAUGUAAAAGUAAAAGUUAUACAUGGUAUAACCUGUAUAAAAAAAUAUACACACUAUUAAUUUAUUUUUAAAUAGUAAUAGUGAUUUUGGGAAUUUAACUAAUUAUAUUGAAAUAACAAAUUAAUUAUUUUUUAUAUUAUGUUUAUAAUUUAUUGUAAAUGAUUAUUUAUUUAUUUAAAAUAUUAAUGUAUUAGACUUAUUUAGUGUAAUGUGUCAUGCGCGUGUGGAUGUCAUACUUUUUUAAAAAUAAUCGUAUCUCGUACGUUCCUGCAUCUCGUAUCCUGUGUUCCGUGUCUGUACAACUUAACUCUUGGUAUAUGAGACUACUAUAUACACUAAGUCAAUCAACUAAGGUUAUUUUUUAUUAGCAAGAAAAAAUAAAGUUUUUUUUAAUUCAUUUUUGUGUCCUUUUUUUUUUAUUAAUGAAUGAUCACAAACACUGUUGUUACAACUAAAAAUAUAUUUCGAUAGUCUUGGUAAGUCAUUAGUUUUUGUCAAACUCUAUAAUUAUUUCCAUCAAAGAGAGAUAUUUUAAUGAAAACUGAUAAAUAAAUUGAAAUGAGAGGAUGUUAGCUUUAGGCUCCAUAUUGAUAAGAUUGGCCGAUAAUUUAACUAAUUAUAUUGAAAGAAAAAUUAAGUAUUUUUUUUAAAUUUGUUUUAUCUUUUUUUUUUUAAAAAAAAUAGUUCAACAACUUAAUUUAGAAUUAUAAUAUUUGUCAUUUUAUAAUUCAAAAUACUGCUAAGUGGUAAAUUGUACUAUUUACAUUUGGUUUUCAUAUAAAGAAAACUACUCUCCUUUUAUAUAUUAUAUAAAUAAAUUAGGUCUGGCCAAUACUUGAUAUUUUUCAAAACUAAAUUAAGAAAAAAUAAGAAGAAACUAAAAUUUAUUUCAAAAAAAACUUAUAUUACUUAAUUUUUUAUAUAAAAGAAAAUAAAAUUAAUUUUUCUCUACAAAUUUAUUUAUAGUUUUUUUAUUUUCUUUCUAAUUUGAAGAGAAAAUUAUCGAAAUUCUUUUUCCUUAUAUUCAUUUCUUAUUUUCAAAUUAAAUAAUUUUUGCUUAUUAAUAUUAGUUUAGCUUUCUUUUCUCUUCAAUAUUAUUUGAAAAUAUAAAACAAUUUAUUUCCUUACAAUAGUUUUCAUUAGAACUAAACUCUUUAUAAUUGUGCUAAAUAACUUUACAUUUGGCAAUUGGCAAUUUGAGAUUGACACUUGUCUGUCGUUUAAAAUAUACUGCGUUAAUUAGUGUUGUGAUCUAUCUUUUAGGGCCAGAUUGAUAUUAAGAUUUGGUAAGUUUAAAGCGAUGGAAGUCCAUAAUAAGUCUAACCUAGUAACCUACUAAACAAAUAAUAGCAAAAUCCAUAUAUCAUUUGGGCCUUAGGCCCACUAUCCAAGCAGUCUCUAUGACAGAUUGCCAUCGAUAAAUAUAUAUCCAUAGUUGUGAUACUCAGCUCGAAUCAAUUUACAUAACCAAUAAGAUACUUAUUUCACAGUGAAAAUUUUAAUGGAGGCUCAACAUCCUUUAUUCGUUCAGUAAUAUUACAAAUACUCACAUCACACUAAUUACUUUUAACUAAUACAAUCGCUUCUCUUCUUUUUUUUUUUUUUUUAUUCAUACAUUUCAAUUUAAACUACACUUUCGCCGUUAAACUACAUCUAUGGCUUUAUUUGCUUCCAUAAAAUAACUUAUCAUUAUUAUUAAUAUUUUUUAUAGUCUUAUGAGACAAAGACUUUAAUAUUUUUAACUAUAUUAUAACUAAACAACGAAAAAUAAAUCACUUGGAAAAUAUUUGUCACUUGAAUUGGAAAAUAUAUUGUUUAGCAAGUUAUUUUACGGAUCAUCUAUUAAAAUGAUGUAGCAUGAUUACUCAUGGACCCUAGCAUGUUACUUACCAAUUGAAAUCCAAGAUGAGCCUUGAUUCAAAUCUCUGCUACUGUUAGAACAGGUAGAUUAAAAGCGAUGUGAAGAUCUUCUGCUUCACGUCCUGUGACUUUUAAAUACCAGAGUUUUGGGGACUGGCUUUGAGCGAGUGUGAGCCAAUGCAAAUGUCUAACCUUGAUAGGAAUUUUGAGACCUUAUAAGCCCCAGCUCUCUCCGAACCCUGACAAGCAAAGAGAAAGAUAUGUAGAGAGUGAGUUUCGAGGAUGAGUUCACUCGAAUGUGGUUAAGUCGAAAUUCAAACUAUUUGGAGGGUGUGAUCAAAAGGAGAGAGAAAGAAGACAACAACAAAGAGGAGGAUGAUCGAAGUAAAGAGGAGGCAACGACGGAGGAAGAUGAGGAAUGGAUGUUGAGGUGGCUGUAGUAGGGCAAAAUGAUGACAUUUGGGGAAAAGAGUGAGUUUUGAGCCCUUGGUGUGUUUUAAUAUUCAAGUUAAACUAAGGAUAGUCAUAGUAUAUGAAUUCUACUUUUACAAUAUUUUAUUUAAAACUCUAAGUUAAAUUUAAAAUUAAAGAAAAAAUAUACCUAAUUUUAUAAAUUGGAAUUAACUAAAGUAUAAAGAACAAAUAGGUCGAUUUGAAGCCUCAUUUCCAAUAUAUAUAUAUAUAUAUUUUUAUAACAUAGUUGUAAUGCUUUAAAAUAUAAUUUUUUUGAUAUUGCUGCACAAAUUUAUUUAUUGUUCUUAUUAAUUUAUAUUUGUUUCCCUCCAAAUUUUGAAAUCUAUUUCUACUUCCUAGGCAUGGUGGUUCAGGUUCGAGAUAUUUAAAAUUUUGAACUGGAAUCGACCCUUGAACUUUUGGUUCCGACACAGUUCAGGCGAACCGACAGUUUGAAUUACGGUUCCGAUUCGAUUCCGGCAUUACGCAAAUUUUUAAAAAAAUAAUAAAAUUUUGAUUUCGAAUUCAUAAUAAAUAAUAAUUUUAAAAUGUUUCAAUUUUAUUAACUAAAUAAAUUAUUAUAAAAUUUUAAAAGAAAAACUUCUAUUAACUAACUUAGAACUAUUAUUACAUUAAAUUUACAAAUUUUGCUAAUUCACUAAUAUAGAAAACCAUAAAUGGAAUGAGUUGGAAAUUAUUAUUUUCAAAUACUAAGAAAAUUAUUAAAAAAAUUAAAUGAAGUAAAUUUAUGAAUGGAAAAAAUUGAGAUUAAAGAAAGAAUUUGGAAUUGGAUGUAAGAAAAUAAAAAAUAAAUAAUAGAUAAUUCCAAUAUUAAGGAAAAUAAAGCAAUAGAAAAAAUAAUGAACUAUGGAAAUUUGAGAGAAUUUUGAUUGAGAAUAAGAGAAGAGUUGAGAUAUAAUUGGUUGUGAAAUAAAAAGUCAUCAACUCAUCAUAUUUAUACAUGUUUCUCAUUUAUUAGUUUCCCAAAUUGUCCCUUAUAACAGAAAAAUAACAGCUAUAUUUUUGGAUAAUUUAGUAAAUUACAGUAAAUAAAUAAAUAAAUNNNNNNNNNNNNNNNNNNNNNNNNNNNNNNNNNNNNNNNNNNNNNNNNNNNNNNNNNNNNNNNNNNNNNNNNNNNNNNNNNNNNNNNNNNNNNNNNNNNNNNNNNNNNNNNNNNNNNNNNNNNNNNNNNNNNNNNNNNNNNNNNNNNNNNNNNNNNNNNNNNNNNNNNNNNNNNNNNNNNNNNNNNNNNNNNNNNNNNNNNNNNNNNNNNNNNNNNNNNNNNNNNNNNNNNNNNNNNNNNNNNNNNNNNNNNNNNNNNNNNNNNNNNNNNNNNNNNNNNNNNNNNNNNNNNNNNNNNNNNNNNNNNNNNNNNNNNNNNNNNNNNNNNNNNNNNNNNNNNNNNNNNNNNNNNNNNNNNNNNNNNNNNNNNNNNNNNNNNNNNNNNNNNNNNNNNNNNNNNNNNNNNNNNNNNNNNNNNNNNNNNNNNNNNNNNNNNNNNNNNNNNNNNNNNNNNNNNNNNNNNNNNNNNNNNNNNNNNNNNNNNNNNNNNNNNNNNNNNNNNNNNNNNNNNNNNNNNNNNNNNNNNNNNNNNNNNNNNNNNNNNNNNNNNNNNNNNNNNNNNNNNNNNNNNNNNNNNNNNNNNNNNNNNNNNNNNNNNNNNNNNNNNNNNNNNNNNNNNNNNNNNNNNNNNNNNNNNNNNNNNNNNNNNNNNNNNNNNNNNNNNNNNNNNNNNNNNNNNNNNNNNNNNNNNNNNNNNNNNNNNNNNNNNNNNNNNNNNNNNNNNNNNNNNNNNNNNNNNNNNNNNNNNNNNNNNNNNNNNNNNNNNNNNNNNNNNNNNNNNNNNNNNNNNNNNNNNNNNNNNNNNNNNNNNNNNNNNNNNNNNNNNNNNNNNNNNNNNNNNNNNNNNNNNNNNNNNNNNNNNNNNNNNNNNNNNNNNNNNNNNNNNNNNNNNNNNNNNNNNNNNNNNNNNNNNNNNNNNNNNNNNNNNNNNNNNNNNNNNNNNNNNNNNNNNNNNNNNNNNNNNNNNNNNNNNNNNNNNNNNNNNNNNNNNNNNNNNNNNNNNNNNNNNNNNNNNNNNNNNNNNNNNNNNNNNNNNNNNNNNNNNNNNNNNNNNNNNNNNNNNNNNNNNNNNNNNNNNNNNNNNNNNNNNNNNNNNNNNNNNNNNNNNNNNNNNNNNNNNNNNNNNNNNNNNNNNNNNNNNNNNNNNNNNNNNNNNNNNNNNNNNNNNNNNNNNNNNNNNNNNNNNNNNNNNNNNNNNNNNNNNNNNNNNNNNNNNNNNNNNNNNNNNNNNNNNNNNNNNNNNNNNNNNNNNNNNNNNNNNNNNNNNNNNNNNNNNNNNNNNNNNNNNNNNNNNNNNNNNNNNNNNNNNNNNNNNNNNNNNNNAAAAAACUAUAAAUGGAAUAUAAAAUUAAUGGAAUGAGUUGGAAAUUAUUAUUUUCAAAUACUAAGAAAAUUAUUUAAAAAAUCAAAUGAAGUAAAUUUAUGAAUGGAAAAAAUUGAGAUUAGAGAAAGAAUUUGGAAUUGGAUGUAAGAAAAUAAAAAAUAAACAAUAGAUAAUUCCAAUAUUAAGGAAAAUAAAGCAAUAGAAAAAAUAAUGAACUAUGGAAAUUUGAGAGAAUUUUGAUUGAGAAUAAGAGAAGAGUUGAGAUAUAAUUGGUUGUGAAAUAAAAAGUCAUCAACUCAUCAUAUUUAUACAUGUUUCUCAUUUAUUAGUUUCCCAAAUUGUCCCUUAUAACAGAAAAAUAACAGCUAUAUUUUUGGAUAAUUUAGUAAAUUACAGUAAAUAAAUAAAUAAAUGAUUAAAAAAUAAAUAAAAUUUAUUUACCAAAAAAUAAAUAAAAACCACCUAUCAUAUAAAAAAUUAUCCGUUACACUCUUUUUUUUUUACAGUUGAAAGUAUUUUUUUUUCACCACUUUUUAUAACUUAUAUAUCAUUUUACUUCUUUUCACUAUAAAUCAAAUCAAGUGAUAUAAAUUUUUUUAUAAAAAUUUUAAGCUACAAUUUUUUGUGCAUCCGGUUCGAACGGGACCGGAACCGCCGGUUCCGGUUCAUAUUUUAACAUUGACAUGAAUCUUAACCGGCCCUUGAACCGUCGGUUUCUGUUCGAUUUCAAUUCGUCAACAGUACGGUUCGAUUCCGAUUAGAAUCGAACCGGUGGCAUGCCUACUACUUCCGAUCUAAGAUUAUUUAUUUAGUUUUAGAUGUAGCGUAUUUUUAAUUUUUUAUUACAGGUUCUUGUAAUAUACCUUGGAAAAAAAAAAAAGAACUUAAAAAACUAGUGCGUCUGACGCCGUAUUCUCUGUUUGGUCACUGAGUUGUCAAUUUGUUGAGGCAUGGUAAACCUGGCAUUAUAUAAACCAUAAAGGACCAAUAAGUAAUUCCGUACCAUCGCAAUCCAAAACCAAAAGGGGAAGGGUCUUCACGGAACCCCUAUAAAUAUCACAAUUUCCUCAAUUUCUCUCAUUUUUUCCGGUUUCACCUUUGUCCUUCCUCUUUCCCGCUCUCUCAAGGGUUAGGGUUUCUCUUUUUCCAAAAUUUCAAUCACAGUAACAAUGUCGACAUCCAAGAAAGUCACUCUCAAAUCGUCCGACGGCGAGACUUUUGAGGUGGAGGAAGCGGUGGCGGUAGAGUCGCAGACUAUAAAACACAUGAUCGAGGAUGACUGCGCCGACACUGAGAUACCGUUGCCUAACGUGACCAGCAAGAUCUUGGCUAAGGUCAUCGAAUACUGCAAGAAGCAUGUCGAGGCCGCCACUGCUGAUAAGGACAAGGAUAAGUCCUCCUCUGAUGAGGCUCUCACGACUUGGGACGCCGAUUUUGUCAAGGUUGACCAGAAUACCCUUUUUGAUCUCAUCCUGGUAAGCUUUUACUUUUCUUUUUAUUUCUUGCCUAGCUUUCACUUUCUUAUUUCUAAUCUUGAAUAAUUUGCUGUCUCUCUUAAUUGUGUGUUAUUUCUUCGAAUGAUACAGUAAGUUUUACUGACGUUGAAUAAUUUUACAAAUUCUCCUCAUAUUGAUUUGUGUUCGUUUUUUGUUUGUUGUGUUGCACUUAUGAGCCUAGAUGUUUGUGAGCACUUAGGUGAAAUUCAGGAUAUUAAUAAUCCGAUUAUGGUUUUUUUUUUUAGAUUAUCAGAAACUGGGUCUUAUUUGCAGUUAGAAUAUAUCUACGGGUAAUGGGUAGAUUAUCCAUACAAUUAGAGACGGGACUCAUUUGCGUUUUAUGUUAUAUGUUCAUUAUAUAAUUGCAAUUUUGUAAACUUUGUAAAUGGUUUGGGAUUCUGAUGAUAUUAAUGUUAUAUAGAAAAUAUAGUUUGGUGGAUUUCUUGUUGAUUGUACCUUUCUAUAUAUUGAUAGCUUCUGCUUUACUGUGUUUUUUAGUAAUAAACUAUGAAACAUGAACCUGAUUUCAAGUCAUGUGCUAGGAAAGGUGAUCUUUAUGUGUGGGGCUUUUACAUGGGUAACUGCCUUCUUUUUGACUUUUCUUUUAUAUGAUUCUGCUUUAUAGCCUUUUCUGUUUAAUUUGCUUUUUUGCUCACCUACUUUUAUCUAUUUGUGCAGAAUAUGUCUUUUACUUUGUGUAUUGUGUGUUAUCUUUCGUCGUCCUCGUUAAAGAUGAGUUGCAAUCACUCAUUUCUAAUUAUUUUUGCAGGCUGCUAACUAUUUGAACAUCAAGAGUUUACUAGAUUUGACUUGCCAGACUGUGGCUGACAUGAUCAAAGGGAAGACUCCGGAGGAGAUUCGCAAGACAUUCAACAUUAAGAAUGAUUUCACCCCAGAGGAAGAAGAGGAGGUUCGAAGGGAGAAUCAGUGGGCAUUUGAAUGAUGAAUGUAAAAUGUCCUUGCAAUGUGCAUAUGAUGGUAUGAUGAUAGGAAUGUCGAUAUACGAUAGGAUGCUGUUUUUGUUCUGUGUCUCUUAAUGUGGAGGAUGAUUGGAAAUUUCCUUUUUAUGGUUGACAGCAUGUUUCUUUGAACACCUUAUUCUAAUGUAAUAGAGUUGAUAUCUAAAUGUGCAUGUCUCAGUUGAUUAUUUUUUUUCGUUGCUUUGCUUUCUUCCUUCAGCUGGUUGCUAUGCAUUAUGAUAAUUGCAAAUUUUGUUCCUGACUGCUAAUUCACAGGAAUGUGAUUGUUCAAUGCAUGGUUUAGCUGAUGAUCAACACUAAGGAUGUAUUGUCUGCUUCUUUAAUUGCUGUCAUUUCUUGCUCGAAUAUGACAGGGUAUAUCAUAUGAAAUAGAUUUUUGAUUAAUCGUGCAAUUUACAUAGGAUAUAAUCAAUUGUAAAAUCAAUAGUUGCUUAUGAAAUAUUUAUUAUUUUUAUUGUAAACAAGGAAAUAUUGAAAGAAUAUCAUUUAUUACUUUUUGAAAUAUACAAAAUGACUUAUAUUUUGAAUCAAAAUAAUAAAUUAAAAAUGAUUUAUAUUUCGGAACAGAGAGAGUAAUCUAUAACUGCCAUCAAUCAAUAUCAACCGUUGAACUAAGUAGACCCAUAGUCUUUAUUGGUUUCAUUCAUUGCUCUUCGCCCCUUCUAGUCUUUAUUUUCUCUUUGGAACCAAUUCAGUUGUUUCCCCUUGUUUUAGGGGGGCCUAUUUUGGUAGAAUUGAGAGAUUCUUAAUAUCUUUUAACCAGUCUAAGGAUUUAUACGAUGAUGGUACAAAAAAAUUGCUUGGAUAUUUCCAUUUGAAGUUUAGAUGUUUUGGUACUAUGAAAGAUUGUUACUCGACUUAUUCCCUCCAUUCCGUUCGAAUUUGAAUGUUCUUAAUUUUUCAUAAGAAUUAAUGUUUAAAUCACCUUAAUUUUAAAAAAAAUAAAAAUAAUUAACUACUUUUUAAUUAAUGCUUAUUUAAUUGAAACAAAAUUUAUUGUAGGAAUUUUUUUUAGAAUAAAAUUUAUUAUAGAUAUUUAGACAAGAAUAAGUUGAAAUAAAAUAAUUAAUGAAAUAAAAUAAUUAAUGCUAUUUUGAUUUUCUAAAAGUGUAAUCUAAUACUACCUUCGUUCCAUAAUACUUGUUACAUUUGUGGUUUCAAGAAAUAAUAAAUAUCUUUCCAUGUUUACCCUUUGUAUAUGGCAAUAAUUAUUAUUUUAAUUUAAUGGUUUUUUUUUGAAAAAAUUAACAUUAAAUUAAGGAUAAUAUAGUCAAUUUACUCAAUAAUUGAUUAUAACUUAGACAAAUUUAAUGUUUUUCUUAAGGAAUGUGAAAUUCCAAAUGUUACAACUUCCUUUGUCCUAUUUAUAUAGAGAAUGUCAAAAUUUCUCUAGAAUUAAUGAGGUGGUCUUUUUGUGAAAUUCUUCCUAAUUUACCCCUAAAAAGAUAUUGAAGUGGUCCCCAAAUUUCAAUAAAAGGUGAUAAAUGAUGAGAGAGAGGAUAUGCUGCUUAAAUAAAGCAUUUUAUUUGUUUAGACUUUCAAUUGCAAAAAAAUGUAGGCCGAUUAAUUGCAAUUGCACACUAAAAUUUCAUUAUUAAAUUUGGCUUGAAAAAAUUAGCGUGGAAGUUGAAAGAAAGUUUGAAGCCAAAAUUUUCUACUUUAAAUUCUUUAUUUUGCUUCUCCAAAUUAACGUAUAAAAAAGUGAAAUUUUAAGUCAAAAGUUUUCAAAACUGAGUGAGUUCACAAUUUUAAAAUUUAAUCCACCAAUAUCAUGGACACAAUCCUUCAUUUUGAUUUGAAUACGGUCCCUCAAUAUUUGCUUGCAACUUCAGAAGAUGUGCCCAUAUUCAACAAUCAACCCUUAGAUUUGAUCUCCUUGUCAUUCACUCAAUAACCGCCUUCUAUAGAAUCUGAAACCACACCACCACCAAGUAACGUUCCAGAAGAGGUUCGAAAAGACAACAAAAGGAAAAACAUCAUUGAAAAUGUGAAAAAUACAGUUUGUAUAUUACUAUUUUCUGAAACUGAAAAGGGCGAGUCAAAUGCUCACAGUAUUCGUAAAGUUGCAGACAUUUUAUCCAUAUCUACUAAGACAAUUUACAGAAUUUGGCAUAACGUAAAAAAUAAUAAUUAUUUUUAUUUAAGCAAUGAAAUUAUGGUUUAGAUUUUGUAUCUCUUUCUUUAGCCAUUUAAGGAGUUCAUGAGAGUAAAUAUAAAUUGCCACAAAUAUUUUUAUUUAAGCACUGUCGUUUGGAGGAAAAUUUUCCUUCAUUCAGGAGCUGUGAGUAAAUUGCACUGUAUGUGCACACUUAAAUGUUAAGCAUAAGCUUCUUAGUGAAAUUUAGUCUGUGUGCAUAAUGUGCUUGAAUCCCAUAUUUUCUUAAUGCACAGUUCAGUCAAUUUUUGAACAUUAAAUGUCAACCACAAUAAUGUCUGCCACUUUCUUAAAAUACUAUUAAAGUAAAUGUUUAAUCUAUAAACUAAAGCAAGAGCAUAUUGGAUUUUUUGCUUUGGCAUUAGUCCCAAAUUACCAUAUUUGGAAAAUUUCUCUAUAUAAAUAGAACGUUCCAAAAGGAAAUUUUCUCUAUAUAAAUAGAAUGGAGGGAGUAUUAUAGAACAGAGGUAGUAAUAGUAAAUCAUAAAUUCUAACAGAUUUUUACUUUUAAAACUUUCAAAAAGAAAAAAAAAACUUUCAUUCAAAUCAAAAUCCUCAUUAUACUAUCUCUGUUCGAUAAUACUUGUCACAUUUAGAAUUUCACUUUUGUUAAAAAAAUAUUAAAUUUUUCCAAGUUACAAUAAAUUAUUGAGUAAAUUGAUUAUAUUACCCCUAAUUUAAUACUAAUUCUCCAAGAAAACCAUUAAAUUGAAAUAAUAGUUAUUGGUUAUAUACAAAGGGUAAACAUGAAAAAAAUAUUUAUUACUCUUUGAAACCACAAAUAUGACAAGUAUCUUGGAACAAAUUAUUUUCUCAAAUGUGACAAGUAUUAUGGAACAGAACAUUUAAUUUUAUGUAUAUGAGAAUCUGUUUCAUUUUUGCAACUAACUUUCAAAUGUUUUUUUACUAUAUAUAUAUAUAUAUAUAUAUAUAUAUAUAUAUAUAUAGAAACACCCCGAAUUUUUAUUUUUGAAACCUUUGAAUUUUUAUUAAAUUAAAAAUCAGAAAUUUUGACUAUGUGGGCUACGAAUAGAAUAUAGUCUCGAUUCGAGCUCAAAUUUGCCAGCUCAGCCCAAGCCCAAAAAUAUAUUAUCGGAAUCUUCGAUACAUUUAAUUUUAUGUAUAUGAGAAUCUGUUUCAUUUUUGCAACUAACUUUCAAAUGUUUUUUUACUAUAUAUAUAUAUAUAUAUAUAUAUAUAUAUAUAUAUAUAUAUAUAUAGACACACCCCGCGUUUUUUUUUAUCCAAAAAUCAAGUAUCAUUAUUAUUAUUGUUUUUAUUGUUAUGGAGUAAAAUGGAGAAAUGUUAUGGAAUCUAACUAAAUUAAUCAAAAUAAAUCGAACCGGGCCCGAAAUUCAAAUUUAUUUUUCGAAAACCACAUGAAUAACCUGAAAACCAAGUAAAAAAAACCUGCGAACCGAGCAAAAUCGAGCCAAAUCUUUGAAUCAGACCAAAUCGGUUCGAAUCGAACCGGAAUGAUCUAGAAAUCGACUUAGUUUCUUCUGUUCUUCCUCUCUUCUUCUUCUUCAGCACGCGCGACAGCCUCCUUCUCCUCCCUUUCCUUCUCAUUUCCGACCCUCGCUCGACGAGAGCGAGGUGGCGAUCGCCUUCCCUGGGGCCUUUAAUCCAUUUUCCCGCCUCCUUCCCCGCUAGCAGAGCCUCCAGUGGCGCGAACGAGACUGUCCCCGUCGACAGUUCUCGUUCUUCGAUCUCUGGCGAUACCAGGCGAUUCUGGCAAUGUGAAGCUUCAAGGUGAGCUCUGAUUGAUUCCUCUGUCUUGUGUGAACAAUUCCCAUCCAAGAAACGACGGUUUUGGUGGAAGGAACUGGAACCGCCAUGAAUAGCGGUAAGGGGCUGCUAUCAAGCUCGUUUCGACCAACUAGAGGGUUGAUCUCACUAAACCAACGCCGGAAAUGGAAUCCUUGCUGAAUUUCAAGUUGAAUGGUAUGAUCGUGGCGAAUUUCUGGGCAUUAUUGAUUUUCUGGCCACUGUAAACGGCGGAGGCGACUGCGUUCCGGUGACCGGCCGGCGAGACUCCGGCGAGGCACCAAGGACAGAAUUUUCCUCUCUUCGCGAGGAUUGUGGAAUCGUCACCCAAAUUUCAAUCGGUACGUUCUAAGACCAAUUUCCUAUUUUUGGUAUAAAUGCUUAAACUUAAUACUUAUUAGUUGAUUAAAUUAAAUUUGAAUGAAUAAUCAAUCAAAUAUAAUUUUUGCUAAGAAUCAAUCGAUAUAAUGUGGAUGCAAAUUAGUUCUGCAUAUUGUUAUAUAUAUUUCAUGAACAUUAGUUACAACUAGAAGGUUCGGUAUUAAGAUAAGAAUUCCUAGCUAAUAUUUAUGUAAGCUAAUUUAGGAAUUUUAAUAAAUAUUGGUAGGGGAGAGUUAUAAUUUAAGGCUUAGACAAGUAAAUAGUUUUAAAGCAAUUAAUAAUAUCAUUGAAUCAUGCUUGGAGGUUAAUAUAGUUUGUUAAUUAGUUAAUUUGGAACNNNNNNNNNNNNNNNNNNNNNNNNNNNNNNNNNNNNNNNNNNNNNNNNNNNNNNNNNNNNNNNNNNNNNNNNNNNNNNNNNNNNNNNNNNNNNNNNNNNUGGGUUGUGUGAAUUGAUUGAUCGAAUAAUUGAUAAAUAAGGUUAUGGCGGACGGGAUGAGUUGAUUUGAAUUGACCGACGGAUGGGCUUAGAUAUUAUAUUGUUGAAUUGUGGUUUAGUCAAAUUUUAGGGGAGGUGCUGCCGAAAUUUCAAUAGAAUCUAGACUAGUUUUAAUUAAUGACAUAAUUAAUAAGUUUAUUUAGAUUAAUUCUAUAACUUAAUACAUAAUAAAUAGAGUGCACUGAUUAUUUAUUAUCUUUAUUAUUCAUUUAAUUAUUUAAUUAUUUAUUUAUUUGCAUUGAUUUUGGAUGUUUAAUUAUGCAUUGCAUUACGAUGUUUAAUUGAUUAAUAUGUCUGCAUUUGAUUGCAAUGUUGGAUUAAUUGUGUUGUGAUAAUGCUAUGCUUUAUUUAUGUGGAAUUGGGAUGAAGUGGGUCACCAUGGGUUUGUGAGACCGUUACUGUUAUAUGGAUCCUGAUUACCGUUACCGUUAUAUACCGUUACUGUUAUAUGGAUCCAUUACCGUUAGCCGGGUAAAUGGCAGAUCGGCGCCCCCGUGUGCACCUACCGUUACCGUUACCGUUAACCAUAGGAUGACUGCUUGUUGUUGCGCACCUGAAAAUCUAGAUUUGAUCGCAGCCCGCAGGGUGGNNNNNNNNNNNNNNNNNNNNNNNNNNNNNNNNNNNNNNNNNNNNNNNNNNNNNNNNNNNNNNNNNNNNNNNNNNNNNNNNNNNNGGCCAGUAUGGGGGAUCGGCUCCCUAGUGCACAUGUGAGUGGAUGAGCCAUGUGGGAGGACGACUCAUCGGGGUUUCGGUGACACCGCUGACUAAUUUCCACGUGAUGUGAUUACAUGAAGAUGUUAACGAUUGUGGGUGCUGAUAAUAUGCAAUUUGUGUGAAUUCAUGUGUUGUGAAAUAGGUAUUCCUUCUUAGAAGGUUCACAUAUCUUGUUUAAUUUUUCAGGAAGUAAGUUUCUCUUCAAUUCGGUUAAGUUAUGUUCCUUUGCGCAGGGCUAGAAGAAAAUUUUUCCAGUUUCAUAAUUAUUUUGCUAUGUAAUUAUAUGUAUAAAAAACUAUGUAUACCAAAUAGUUAGUGACUCCGCAGUUGUAGAAUUUNNNNNNNNNNNNNNNNNNNNNNNNNNNNNNNNNNNNNNNNCUCAAUAUUAUUAAAUAUAUAUAUAUAUAUAUAUAUAUAUAUAUAUAUCAUCAUUCAUGGUUAUGGGAUUACAGUAUAUCUGUUUUGCAACGAAGAGUAAAGCUUAAUUAAUUUUUUAAAUACUUGCCUAAAUCAUUAAGAGCAAUCAUCAAUUAUAAAUUGAUUGCUAAUAAUUUAGCUAAUUUAAUUUAUUAAAUAAAUUUAAAGCGAAAAUUUUAACUAAAAACACUAAUCAAUAUAUAUAUAUAUAAUCUUGAAAAAAAAAAGAAUUUGACUUGACUCUCUCCAUCGAUCCUUCCUAUUUUUCUUUUUCUACAAAUUUUUGAAUUUUCUACUUUAUUUUUUGAAAUUUUUGAUAGGAUGAUUCUUGUUAAUGUUUUUAUAAUAAUAAAAAUUAAUCUAAAAUUAUUGAAUUUUAAAAUUUUUGAAUUUUUUUUAUCUAAAUCUAUGUAGCUAUAUGUAUAUAUCUAUAAAUACCUCCCACUUUCAAUGAUUUUUUCACAAUGGUCUGUCUUCAUAUUGAUUUGUUGUUUCUUUAGAUUAUUUUACUUUCAAUUUUUUGAGUUUUGAUUGUACUAUAUAAAUUUUUAUUUUUUUAUUUUAAUAUAUAUUGUUAUUAUUGUUUUUCAGAUUUUGAAUUACAAAAAGACGAUAUUAGCAAUUUCAAUCGAUAUAUAUCAUGUCUCUUCUUCUUCAAUUAAGUACAAUAAAUUAUAUAAUAUAAAGUAUGUUUAAUAGUAAAUUUUUUCUUGGUCUAUGUAGUUUUUAAGUUUAUGAAUGAAAUGUCAAUAUUUAUUUAUUUAUUUAUUUAUUUAUUAUUAUUAUUAUUAUGUCAUUUCUUUUAUCUGUUUUAAUUAUUAGGUAGGAGAUUAUUAUUAUUUACAUAAAUUAAAAGAAAAAAACAUUAAAUCCAAUAAAUACAUUUAAAAUAACAAAGAGAGCUUAUAAGAUAACAUCUAAUAAAUUAAAAAAUAAUAAAUUUAAUACAUUAAAAAUAAAUUUAGUUACCAUUUAUAUUUAAAAUGAUAUUCUUAUAUCCUUAAAAUUUUGUUUUUAUUAUUUAAAUAUUAAAAAAUUAUUUUUAACAAUCAUAUUUUAAAAUUAAUAGUCAUUGACAAUAAUUAUCUAUAUCUAUAUCUAUAUUUUAAUUUUAAAUUUUGAACAUUUUUGUCUUUUAUUAGAUCACUUAAGAUACUUUUUCUAAGUGUAAAAUUUAAAAGUUUUACUUAUUUAAAAUAAUUAUUUAAUUUAUAUUUGAAUUUUGAAUAUUUUUAAUUUUAUGUUAUGUCUAUGUAUUUAUAACGAUUAUCUGUUUUUAUAUCUAUGUAUCUUCAUCACCAUCAUACUUGAAGAUGAUCAAUAAAAAAAAUUGCAAGUGAAAUAAUUUUAUUCAUCAUCACCAUCAUACUUGAAUAUGAUCAAUUUAAUUUUCUAGCAAUAAUUAUAUGGUACAAAUAUCAUUUAUUAUUUAAUAUUCACUUUAUGAUUUUAAUUUUUUUAAAAAUAAUAAAUAAACUUGGUUUUUCUUUUAUUUGCAGUUGCAAAAAGAUUUGAAUAAAAGAAAUCAUAUAAUCAAUUGCCAAAAUUAUAAUAAUUUGCUUAAGUUGAAAAAUGAACAUAAUUCAUGUUUUUUCUAAAAAAAAAAAAGCCUAAUAAAAAGCACAAAAAUUUAAUUUUAUUAACACACAUAACAGUAAUUGAUAACUCAUCUAAAUCUAUUUUAUAAAAGAAAAUCAAAUAUCCCACGCUGCAGGCCUUUAUCUAGUUAAAAUAAAAUUCUACAAACUGAAAAAGGCAAUUAUGAAAGUUAAAAGUUAGAACUUAGAACAAAAAUUUUCAAACAAUCAUCUGCUUUAUAUAUAUAUAUAAGCCUAAAAAUGAUCACUUUGAGAAAAAAAAAAUCAAGAAGGAAUGUGAAUAAUUUCUGCUACAAAUUAAUAUGGUUAAAAAACAAAUCUAAAUAUUUAAAAUCUAAAAUCUACGUACACAUAAUCAUUAAAUGAUUUUGUAAUGCAAUAAUAAAAGUAAAAAAGGACUAUUAGCAAAAUAAAAAAUAAUUUUUUUUUGUUAAAAAAAAAAAAAUUAAAGUCAGACAACCUGCCUGUGAUUAAUUAGACAAAUAUUAAUUGCCAAUUAUUAAGCAAAUAAACUAAAAAUGUCUCCUUAUAACUAACUCUCAAAACAACGACGAACCAAUUCUCAAAAGAAUCUAAACCCUAACUUUAAUUAACUAAAUAAUAAUUCAUAUUAAAAAAAAUUAACUAAAUAAUAACUAUCCAGUGAAGUCAUGCAUAUAGCUCUUGUAAAGUUCAGCGGCAGCUUUAGCAGCACAAAGACCAGCAGUAAGAUUAAUCUUAUCAUCUUCUAAUCUUCUGCACUCUAUUUCCAAAUCAUUCAUAUGCUUACCCAAUUGCUCGAUAACCGAGCUUUGCCUCCCAACUUCUGCAGAAAGAUUCUUACUCUCUUCUCUUAACUUUCUGCAACUCUUGACUUUCAUUCCAACAUUCUUUAUAGUAAUCUACUGAUGAUUCCACAAUCUGAAUCUUGUCCUCCAAAUCACUUUUCUCACUUAACGUUCUGUUAUAAUUUUUUUCAUAAUCACAAGCAGCACUGUAGUAAUACUGAUGAGCUGAAUUCGCUUCAGAAAGCUUGUCAUUAAGUUCAUUUUUCUCUUCUGCCCAUCUUUUUUGGGCUUCUGCAAAAUCUAACUCCAUUUGUUGAUAAUUUUCUAUUAACUGAUAAACAGAACCAAGCUUUUCAUGUAGUUCUUUUUUCUCCUCAUCAUCAUUUUCAUACUUUCUUGAAUUCUCUUCUUGAACUUGCUCCAACAUUUUUAGACUCUCUUGCAGUUUUUCUUUUUCUGUAGUUUCAUAUCUAAUAUCUGCAAUAAGUUUCUCUUUCUCUUCCACCAACUUAAGGAUUUGCACAUCACAGAAUUUAACUGAGACAUCAAAAUCCUUUUUCAUCUUUUUGAGUGCUUGCUCAAAGAUCCGUUUCUCCAUUGUCAAUUUCUUGAGGUCCAUUUCGAGAAAACCGCAUCCACAUUUCAAUUUAAUUAUUUCUUCGCCUUUUUGGUCCAGUAGUCCAGGUGGUUUCAGUUGUUCUUGUUCUUUUGCUUCUUUCACUUCUUUCUGGUCUGCUACAGUUGCUUUAAGUUCUAUCUUUGAUUCAUGUUUCGAAUUAUUCCUGUUUUGAGCCAUUUCUUGAAUUUUCUCCGAUGUCAACUCAGAUUUCUUUGCUCUUUCUUCCUUAUUCAAGUUCUGUACGUUUCUAAUUUUUCUAUUUUCCACCUCAUUAUUAACAAUAUAAUUUGAUAUGCGUUCCUUGAGAUAAUCCAAAUACACUUUCAUUGAUUCGAGAUGAGCUUUCUCUUUGGAUCUUUCUUUCCUAAUCUUCUCAGCUUCCUCUUUCGAUGCAGCCUCUUUGAUGAUCUCAGCUUUAUCUUUGGAUGGUUCCAUCUCGGUUUCAGUAUUCAAUUUCUUGAUUAGUUCUUGACUCUUAGUAGGAUCCUGCAAAACAUAUUCUGGAAAGUUAAUGGAUAUAUAAAUACUAUCAACAAUAACCAAGGAACUUGAUAUUAAUUCAUUCUAAAUUGAACAGCACUAAACUUGUAUUGUAUUUUGUAUGCCCCAACGAAAUAUAGUAUAGUCAGACAUUAUAUCAGGUUAUUUCAAGAACUUUUUUUAUCAGCAACAUAUAUAUGUAUACUAUUAAUUUAUAUCCAAGAAAAACUUAAUCAUUUUCAGUUUAUAAACCUAAGUUACCUAGUAAAUGCCAGAUAAAAAAAACCUAGAAAACCUCAAUUUACAUCAGAUUGGUUAUGUAAUUACUUAAUCAAAAACACUAAUUGAUAUCAAUGUCAACUCAUGAAAAAAAAAAAAAAAAGUUAACUUUUAACUUUUAGCAUUUUAUGAAAAACUACCUAAAUUAUUAAUAGCUAAACUCUAAUAAAAGCCGUGUUAGUUAAAUAUCUUUUAGCGUAAAAAAAAACUAAAAGCUAACUUUUAGAUGUUACGUUAGUAUUUUAUAAAAAAUUAAUUCCUGUAAAUAGAUAAAAAAACAGCUAAUUUUGCGAAAUAAAUCCAAUUUUAUUGUUGCAGACAAUAUCAAUACAAAGCAGUUACUCUAAUAUAUUGAGAUCAAUAGUCGAGCAAACAAGAAAUUGAUUAAUUAACUCUCUCUCUCUAUAUAUAUAAAUCAAUUACAGGAGAACUUACAUUAGGUUUAGCGGUAGCAAAUUUUUGGAGAAGGCCAUACGAAAGUAGUAUAUGAGAUAUAAUUAUUAUCACCAACGACGUAAAAGCGCCUAAACCCUUAACGUAAACCUCAAUAUCUCCAAAACAACAAUGAAAGAAUAACACAAAAUAGAUCAAAAACCGCGCAAAACAUAUUGUACUAGUACCAUUGGAACUCUGCAAAAGAAAGUUAAUUACUUAAGUAAUUAUCCAUAACUAAAAACGCAUAAUUUAAAUAAAAAAAACAAGCAGCUAUGAUCUUGAAAGGGAUGGGGGAAUACUCGCAAAAGAACCCUAAUUUGGAUACUCACAUAAGUAAUGACGAUGCCAAAGCAGAAAUUAGUGAAAACCAAGAAUGUUAUGGCCAAACGUAAUUGAACUGUAUAUUGACUUAGAGAAAUACAAAUAAAUUUUAAAAUUAUCAGUCGCUCAAUCCAGAAAAUUGCAGUGAAGGCUAUGUCAUCAAGUUUCGUGUCUUCUUCUCCUCUCUUAACAAUAUUGGCCAUUGUUUGUUUGCUUAGCGGAAAAGUAGCAAUACGAAAAAUAUGAUUAGGGUUUUAUGGUUUAUACAUAGGCUAUUAUAUUUUUCCUAUAUAUAGGGUAAUUUUUACAUAAUUUGUUAUGGUUUAGGAUUGGCUGAGAAUCAAAUCGGUACGUGAAUGGAUAAAGAGUUUAUUUUUUUAAAAAAUAGCAAUUAAUCUCAAUUAAUAAUUAAUAAUUAAUAAUUUUCAAACAAAACUGCAAUAGCUAAUAGCAAUGUUCUGUUCUUAUAGGGAAAGUAAUUUAGAUGGGUAUAGGAUGUAGAAUGAAUUUGGUGCUUGGAGGAUUUAUAGAAUCCAUUAAAGACUGAGUCCGUAUAGGUCAAAAUCUUAAUUCUUAAUUCGAAGAAAAAGAAUGGGGUGAUUACAGUGUGAAUUUAGACUUAAAAUUUUUAUGGAAAUCUUUCAUUCCUGCUGCUAAAGAAUAUAAAAAUAUUAGAGAAAUAGAAAAUAUAUAGAAUAAGAAAACAAAGAUAAUAAUUAGUCUGCCUAUGUAGUCUACAAGAAAGAAAAGAGGAGAACUUUGGUUUCCUUGGGUCACUGGCCAUCUGCCGGGAGUUUCGGAUUUAUGGCUUGGGUUAGCAAUGGGACACUCUAAUUGGUUUAAUUUAAAGUUUAUCAAGUGGUUUGGUUUGCGGACCAAUCAUUUCUCUCCACUCUCUUUGAAUUGAAUGUUACACUAUAAGUAAAAUAAUGUCACAAUAUCAGAAGCAAUAUAUUCCUAAGAAUAUAUUCUUUGACGAGAUUCCCACUGAAAGGUUCAAUUGUUACAUUAUAAGUUUAACAAUUUAUAGGUGAGAUUGUCACGCCACAGUUAACAAACAAAAUAUUAUUGUUAUUGUUACACUAUAAUUACAACUAUAGUGUUGCAACCUACAAAUAUAAAAUAUGUACUGUGUCAUUGUUAGUGUAAUAAUAUAUUUUGUUUACACCUCAACAAUUUGAUGCCAUGAAAGAGAUGUUUGUGGGGAAGAAAAAUAUUCUUGUAUUAGGCAUAAGAGGUAUAAGAACUAUAAAUUAUUAAAUGAAAAAAAAAUGUGUAAGAAGUGUAAAAGAGUAAAUUAUUAAAAGAAAGAAAUUUCUUUGUAAGUGCAAGAGAAUAUUUACUAUUCCACUAUUCUAAUCCGUGAAGCUUGGUAAAUUGUAAGUGUAUAUAAAGGAAAGAACAUUGCUUCUCCCAUUUAUCUACAUGAGGAGUGCUUUUCCCUUAGUCUCCCCUUCUUGCUUUGGUAAGGUUUAAUUUUUUUUUUUUUUGUUAAUAUAUUUUGUUACAUAUUUGUUAAUAUAUUAUGUUCAGAUAUGAAUAUGAGUGUUAUAAUAUACUUGUAAACUUAAAGAAUAUAUUCUUUCUGACACUGUGACAUUGUUUUAAUUAUAGUGCAACAUUCAACAAAAAGAGAGUAAAGAGAAUAUUGUUCUAUAAAACUGCUGGACAACAUUAAUAUAAAUUAAAAUUGAUUAUUUUUAUUGCAGUCAUAGUGUAAUAAUGCAUUUGUUAAAUUAUGACUAGAAUAAAAGCCUUUGAAAUGUCAACAAAACAUUGUUAUGAUAAAUAUCAAUAGUUCAUAAUAUAAAUUUAUGGAAAUUUAAACAUCUAAUUUCUACAAUUAAUGAGUUAAAGAUAGCAUAAUAAAAUUAUUUGAGAAAAAAAUUAAAUAAAAUCAAAAUUACCUUGUUUAUGCUCAAUAUUGAAUCACCUCUAUUUAUCUUCAAGACAAGCAACCGUAUCUUCUAUUAUCAACUUGCUGUAUAAAGUGGUUAGAAAUCAAAAGACACAUUAUAGUACUUACCCUUUCAUAAACUAAUGUGGUUAUGGAUUUAUAGCUAUUAAGGAAAAUAAAUUGGGCACGCUUCGCAUUUCAGUGACCUAGCAGCCAAAUUAUGUUAUGCUGUUUAACCUAGCUUUUUAACUACUGAUGGAAGAGCAUUUAGCAUCUCAAAGGGACCUAUAAAAUGCUAUCAUUGAAGUACGAGAAAAUAUCGGUCAAUUAGAGGUUACAAAGCUGACCCAACUGUAGGGUAGAGCAAACCGUUUGUUAAGUUCAAACCGAAAUCACAAAAUAUAAACCGAAGUUUCUUUAUAAUAAAUCAAACUGGAAAGAAUUUUUGUAAUGAAUCGAAUCAAUCGAACUGAAUCAAUCGGUUUGGUCUAUUUUUAUCGUUUUCACCGUUUCAGUUUUGUUCUAAAUCCAAUCACUGAAUAUUUAUGUAACCGAAUUGAACUGAACAAUAAAUUUGAUUCAAACCGAAUAAUCUGACUGACCGAACCUCUCUUGGGCAUCAGACCGAAUAAACCGAAAUGAGUCGGUUUGAUUUUCAAUUCGGUCCUACCGAUAAUUUUGCUCGCCUCUACACAUGAAAAUAUCCUUUUAACCUAAGAAGAUUAUAAUAUAUGUUUGACCCAAGAGAACGUGGGUCGACCUCGGCCGUUCUAUCAUUAUCUAGGCAGCCUACGGUUAGUUAAGUGGGUCAAGGAGCAAAUUGAUAUUUAGAGGACAUCAAUCAAUAUGGCCCAUCUAAAUUUAUAAUUAGACUUGGGCCAAGAUUAUGGAAGGCCUCCAAAGCAAAAGGAAUAUCUAAUAUAUGGUGCCUAUCCUGAAAAUUAUUAAGAAUAUCUUACAAAUUAACUUGAUCAAAUCUUUUUUUUUUCUUUUAAGAAACUUGAUCAAAUCUAAUAUUCUGAAAAUUUUCAAAUACAUUUUUUAUAUUAUUCUAUGCAUCUCUCUAUAACCUACGGGUUGUGACUCAGUUGGCAAUAUAGACUGAGCAGGUGGGAAGAGUUCGGGUUCGAUCCUCACUAAAUGCACUUGCAAUAGAAAUGUGAGAAACCUUAAUUGUGACUAAGUUCCGAGCUGGAAAAAGACAUCCUGAUGAUGGAGUCCGAAUACCGGUAAUUUAUUUUAAGAAAAAAUGCAUCUCCUAUAUGAUAAUCCUUCAUUAAUUUGUUAGACAUAUGAUUCUAUUGCUAGGGAAACUCAUUCUACAAUAACAGUAGCAACAUGUAGAAAUAAGUGUAAGUAACGAAAGUAAUAGCUAAAAUGAAUUAAGAACUUAACACUAAAAUAUUUAAAAACUUUUCAGAAAAAAAAAUUACUGCUCCGUUUAUUUCUGUAAACUAACUUACUGAAAAAUAUUUUUGUGGAAAACAUUUUCCUUGAAAAAUAUUUCUCAAAUAACUUAUUUUCUAUUAUUUGGUUAUAAUAUUGAAAAUUAGUUAAAAAUAUUAAAGUUUUUAUCUCAUAAGAUCAUAAAAGAUAUUAAUAAUAAUAGACAUUUUAUAAUUUAAAAAUUUUAUUGUUAAAUAUGAAAAGCAUGCAAAAAAAAAAUGUAAAUUAUGAAAGUCGUCGGUGGCUGGUGGUAAAUGAUGACUGGUGGUAGUGACUACGAUGAUUAAUAAAUUAAAAAAUAUAUAAAUAUAUAAGGUUUCCCAAUGUCCGAAAAAUGUUUUACUCUCUCAAAUAUGAGAAGUUAUUUCCUUAAAAAAUGACUUAAUUUUCCAUUGAUUAGGAAAACAUUUUCCAUUUACACAUUUUCCUGAAUACUCCAAACAAUGGAAAAUUGUAAAAAAUAUUUUCUGUAAAUUAUUUUACGAAAACAAACGGACCCUAACAUGAAAAAUAAUCUAAAUUUCACAGUCCAACAUGGCCUAUUUCGUUUUCCAAAUGAGCUAACUCAUAGAUGUUUUAAGUUUAUUAACUAUUUAAUAAUCAAAUAAUAAUUUGCUAAGUGAGGCAUAAUUUUCCAAAAAUAACUUAAGAAAGAACAUGAGUUAAUAAGAACUAAGAGAUCGUACAUGUCUUAGAUUAUCUAAUAUAAUUUGGAUUAGACAGAGGCUGUAAAAGGCAGGGACGAGAAAUUAAAAAAAAAUAAAGAAAUAAACAGAAAAAAAUAAAUAAUUUGUUUCAAGUUUGGUAGUUACAUUUUAGUGAUAUUAAAAUACUUUUUAAUUUAUUUUCAUUUUUAACUCUGUCAAGUGGUUGCAUUUUUCUAAAAACAAACACAUAAAUGCGUAAACUAAUUUAAUUUAGUGGUUAAAAUGCAUUUACUUACUUAAUCCUGGUGAUUGUAGAAUUGAGCCAUAGAAUUAAACAUUUUAAGACUCUAAACAAAAGAACAGGAGUGAGAGGAUAUCUUUAGUAGUAAAAAUAAACAAACAUAUACAGAAUAUAAAGAAUUUUAGCGGAAAAAAAAGAUCCAUAGACCCUUUUUAAUAUGUAGAUUGGUACUGUUAAUAAUUUUAUGAUGUUUGAUCAUAUGAAAUGAGAAAACAACAAUCACGUAUUAUUUUGUUACUUAGAUAAUAAACGAAUGGUUUUUGCUUGUGAAACAUCGUAACAUUAUAAUAGAAGAAUGCCUUAGGUUUCAUGCCGUAUGACAUACAUAGAAUAUUCACCGAGAAGUUCGCAAUUAAAAGAGAUAAUUUAUAUGAAUAAUAAUUAUAUAAUAAAUAUAAGUGACAAGAAUUCCUUACAAAAAGAUAAUAAACUGUUAAAAUUAAAUUGCAAAAAUCUUCGACUAUUUUCAUUUACUGAAAUCUAUUCUUAAUAAUUUUAUUGUCAAUAUUAUCAAAUAUAUAUCUUUUAAGGGUAAAUCAUUAAAUAUACUCCAAACUUUACGUAUUGUAAUAAUUACACCUUAAAAUGAACUUAACCUCUCAGGCACCCCAAUUUAGGCAUGACCGGUUCAAAAUUUUUAAAAUGUUGAACCUGAACAAGUCCUUGAACAACCGGUUCCGACUCUGGCCGGGUCCGGUGCGGUUCCGUUGAACCGACUGUUCCGAUCAUGGUUUCCGGCGAUAUAUGUUUUUUUUUUAAAAAAAAAAAUCAGUUUUAACGUUACAUCUUUUUUUUUGAAAAUAUUAAUAUGAGUUUAAAAAAUAUUGGUAAAUUUUAUUUUAAAUAAAUUUUAGAAUACUCAUACUCAUAUAAGAAUAAAAUUAAUUAAUUUUACAAAAUAAUCAAAUAAGUUAUCACUUUAUUUUGUUCAAAUUUUAUUAAUUAAAUAAAUUAUAAGAAAAUUUUGAAAAAUGCUUCAAAAGAAUGUAAUUUUAAACUUAGUAAACAAUUUAAAAGGGUAAAAAAAAAAAAAGAGUUAAAAACAAUAUAAGUUUAGACUAAAUAUUUCUCUCUUUUUUCUACCAUUUUACUUUUUAGAUUUUUAACUUUUAAAGUAAAGUGUAUUUAAAAAAAAAAAAGAACUUAAGUAAAGUAUAUCAUGUAGUAAAAUAUUAUUGAGACUUUUAGAGAUGUAUAAAAUAGGCUAAGUGAUUAUUAUUUUGAAAAUAAAAAUAAAAAAUUUUCGGUUCAAAUCGAACUGAAACCGCCUAUUAACUGACGGUUCAGGUUUAGAUUUUAGCAUUGACAUGAACCUUAACCGGCCUUUGAACUGCCGGUUUCAGUUCAUCUACAGUACAGUUCGAUUUUGGUUCAAAAUGAAUCGGUGGCCAUUCCUACCCCAAUUGCAAACUUUUGUGAAAAUUGUACCCUAAUUUUAAUUUGGUCAAAAUUAAAUAAUAAAAUAAUAUUAUUAUGGGACCUAUAGUAACUACUUGGGUUGAAUUAACCAUGCCAUGGGUUAAGUGAAACAGAUUGUGUCACUUAAGGUUGGCUCCCUCACUCUCCUUAAUCUUUCUUUUCUUAACCACUCUUCUCCUUUACCUCACCUUUCCAACAAAACGACCAGUAACAUAGAAGAUCAAAGCACACAGCAAACUAUAAUUUUAAAUCAAACAGUAACACUAUGAACACAAAAGGGCACGAGUUAACCCUUUAGUGCUAUCAUAUAUGCUUCCCGAGCUAUUUUCUAGUCUCUCCUAAUAGUGACAACUUCGCCCUUGUCAUAUUAAAACUUCAUGGUGAGAUACUUGAUGCAUGUGGCCGCUUCCAAUUCAUAUACGGCUAGUCUUCCCAAUAUGACAUUGUAUCGAAAGUGAAUAUUUGCUACCAUGAACUCCAAUUUGAGUUUCCUUGAUGAGACUUCGGUUCUGAGCUCUAGAGUUAUGUCUAUAGAUCUAGACACUUGUACAGGUUUUCCUGCCAAGCCGACUAAAGGGGUUUGGAAAGUUUUAAGUUUCGCCUGGUCUAGUUUUAAAGCCUUGAACACUUCCAUGUUCAACAAGUUCAUUGCACUACCUCCAUCCACCAAGAUUCUUUUUACUAGAAAGUUUUCCAAAAUUCCCUCAAUUACUGGGGCAUCAUUGUGUGUGGUAUUUACAAGUUCACCGUCAGCCUCAGAGAAUGAUAUGGGCGGCCUAACACUUGGUUUUUGCUAGAGUAGAAUGGAAUAGAUUUUCCUGGCUCUCAUUUUCCUAGCUGAAUUACUGUCACCUCCCGUUGACCCACCAAAUAUGGUGUGGAUUGUGCCCAGGGUAUGACAUUCUUACACCUGCUUGUCCUUUUGUUCACUUUCUCUCCGAGCUCUCCCAACAAAUUACUUUAGUUUGCCUCUUUACACAAGGCAUUCUGUCUCUUUCUUUAAUUACCAGCAGGCUUCAAUCUCAUGGCCUACAUCGCUAUGGAACUCGCAAUACUUGCUCUUAUCUCGAUAGCUCGAGGUAUCCUCCUUUAUCUUUCUAGGAUAAUAGAACUGAAUUUGAUCGCAUUGUUCUCUUACCUGGGCCAAUAUUUCUGAAUGCAGUCUAUUCAAAUGGGUAAACUCCCGAUCUUGUUGUGGUUUGCCAUCUCUUGAGUAUCAUGUUCGAAUAGAGUAACUGGUUUGUGGGAACCAGAUGGACGACCUCCUUCGGGGCGAUCGUCUCCUUACCGGGGAUGGGUGUCUUUUGUGUCUAUACCUCUCUUCUUUGGGCGAUCUAUGCUGUUGUGCCUCAUAGACUUCAUCUAGUUUUGUGUAUUUGUGAGCUCGUGUCAUGAGUUUGGUGAAUGUUAAGGGAGGGUCUAUACUUAAACUCUCAAAUAACUUGUUGUACCUGCAAUUCUUUGCCUUGUCGCUAAUGGCCACCUUAUCAUUCAAGUUCUCCAUUUGUAUCGCCAUUCUUUAAAAUUUGGAUACGUAUUACCUUAGGGUCUCCCCCUCUUCUCUUUUUAAACUACAAAAGUUUGACAAUAUUUUUCUGGAUGGUACACAUGUUAUGAAACGAGCUCGAAAUGCUGUGGCUAACUGGGAGAAGUAAUGAACGGAUCAUGUUUUGAGUGCUUGAUACCACUCUUGAGCUGCUCCUUUCAGGGUAAUUGGGAAGACUUUGCAUAUUAGAUCCUCCAAGUUUAUUUGAAGGUUCGGAAGAUCGCCAGAUGGCUUUGGGGAUCGGUAGAUCCAUCAUAUGCUUGGAAAGUAAGAAGUUUGAACUUCAAUGGGAAGGCUACAACCAAAAUAUCAGCUGACAAGAGCGAGUCUUGUCGGAGACCAUAAUCCCCUGUUUCUUCUGUGUCUCUACACUCUCGAACUAAUUCUUUGACAACAUUCCGGAGAUUAGCUCCGUCCAAGAUUGGCUGAGUGUGACUUAGCUCUUAGUUGUUGAGGUUAGUCACACUAGGGUCUACUUCAGAUUCUGCCUCAUAGUAUCGAUCAAACAUUGAAUGACUUUAGUAUAUAGGCGAGGUUGGAGGGAGGCUAUGUUCUAGGUGGGGAGGGUUCACCAGCUUGGUGGGUGGUACUAGCUCGCUGCUUGGCUUAGGGUUCUUCAAGAGGCGUUUGGUGGUGAACUGUGAAUAAGCAUGAGCUAGAGCAACUGCUACCUGAAGAUCAGUGGUCAUUGGAGAGGUGAAUGUGGGUUGUUGGUUGAUCCCACCAUAGGUGUUGUCUUGGCCUUUCAUGUUGAGGCAUUCACUGUACUCGUUAGCCAUAGGAACCGAGAAAAACUAUAGGGAUUUUUUUUUAGAGUUUGAAUGUAUAUUCCACCGAUUCCACGGUCAGACUUUAAGGUGUAGUAAAUUGUGAAACCUUUCUUAGAGUAAAUUUGGAGUAUAUAUACACUAGGUCCAGGACAAUUGUAUUAGGAUAAGAAUUACGAAUCCUAUAUUAUCCAUUAAUUAGAAUUUAUUUGAAAAUGUAGUAUUAUUAUUUUAAUAUAUUUUAUUAUUGUAUGUUAAUAGAAACAAUGAAAGGAAAAAAAAAAAAAAAAGGAGACAAUGCUGUCAAUAAUCGCUCAACCAUACCUUUUAAAUCUCCACGCGGAUACCAGAAAAAAUGGGCUUAUCAUGCUAGUAAAUAAACAAAUAUCCAUUUUCUUAUUUGAUUUUGUACCCAUAACUCAAUCAUAAUGCUAUUGUUUCGAAAGAGAAUGCAUAGAAAAAGGAGUGCAAGGGAAUCAAAUCUUAAGGAAGCAGACCUGAUAUUCGAGAAGAGGAGAUUUGGAGAGAUGGAGAUUGAGAAGAAGAGGAAUAGUCUUUGUCUUAUCAAAAGGGUAUUUAAGUCUUUCACUCAGCAUUUAACGGUAAAAAUUGCUAAAAUUAAACUGAAGGACCAUUUAAUGAGACAGAACCAAAAGAAAAACAUGAGGAUGAGUUAAUUAAUUUUGUAAAAUCUCAGGAACGAAAUAAUUAUUUUUCCUUAAUUAACUUAUUAAAUACUACAAGUAAGUCAAAUUCUAUAAUUCAAAAAUAAUUCAUUAAACUCUGUAUAUUAUAAUGCAUCGAGAGAAAUUAAUAGUUAUUAAAUCAAGAAUUAAUAGACUAUGAAAGCCAAUAAUUAAAAAAGAAACGAAAUUACAAAGUUAAAUAGGAUUUUAAUUUUUUUAAAAAAAUAAUUAUUCAAAUAUUUUCCGUUUAUAAUUUCAAGGGGCCAUUUGCCUCUUGCCCAAAUGUGGCUCCGUUCAUGCUUAUUUUGUUAAAAUAAAAGUAGUUACACUGCUAUGGCGUUAGCAACAAUAGCUUUGAUAAUAAUCUUAUCCCUUUUUUAUAAUUUUAUAAAAAGAAUCAACGUCCUUCAAUUGAUUGAAAUAAGAAUAUAGUUUUAAAUUAGAAUCCAGAAACAAUGUAACUUUUAUUACCUAUCAAGAUUCCAUUUGUUUCUCAAAAAUAAUUUGUUUGAAAAUUAAUUUUUAAACUUUUAAUGAUUUGGUUACUUAAAUAAUUAAUUAAUGAAAUAUAUAUUCUUAAUUAAAUGAAAAACUCUUUUAAGAAAAAUAACUUAUUAUUUUUAAAAGAUAAAAAUAUUUUUUUAUGUUAACAAAUUUAUUAUAAUCUUAUAAAAACACAUUUAUUAAUUCAUUAAUUAUGAAUAUUCACCAUCACUAGUCACAGGCAAUUACUGGAUAUUAAUAAUUAAACUUUUUAUGCAUUUUUCUCAUAUUUAAUUCUAAAUAUUUAAAAUACCUAAUUUGUGCAAUUAUAAAUAUUUUAGAUUCUUAUAAAUUAAAAUUUUUAAUAUUUUUUAUUAGUUUUUAAUUCUACAACCAAUUAACAGAAAAUGAGUUAGUAAGAUAUUAAAUAUUCUUCAAGAAAUAUAUUUUACUUUGAAACAUAUUUUCAAAAAUAAAUUAUUUUCUAGCAACAUGCGGCUGUAAAAUUUUUAAUUUGAAAAGGAAACAGUAAUGGAAAUUAAAAACCACCCUUAGAGAAACCCAUGAGCUGCAUCAAGCAUGCAAUAAGCAUGGAAUAAAUGUCAAAUCCCACCGUCCAUAACAAAUCCACUAAAAUGACAUCCAAACCCAUCAUCGUACAAAAUGAAAUAUAAUAUAAAAACAUAAUAUUCCAUCCCCUAAUUAACAUCAUCAUAUUAUGUACGUACCAAUGACCAUACGAUACGAUUUAGAAUUUCGCAUCUAAUAUUACACGGUCCAAACCGCCCCAAUUCAUUAAUUUUAUUUAAUAAAUUUAAAAUAGAUGAGUGGAUUAAGACUGCGUUGAUAUUAGGUUUGAUUUUAUAAGAUCAACCAAAUCCCGAUUUAAAUUUAUUAAAAAUUUAAAAGAAAGAAGAAGAAAUCGAUUGGAUUUGAGACUCUCUAUGAACCUGUUUUGAUGACGUAGUUUGUUUACUUUUUGAUUAUAUUUGAUUCUUUGUGUAUAUACGACGUCACAUUAAUGGCACGAUGAAUGCAUGUUUCCUUUUCAUGCAUUUUGUUUGGACGUGUUUGGUUCAUUCAAUUCUUUGUUUUAGUUCAAUAAACCGGUGGUUUUUGGACUCUUGACGCUUUUAAAUCCGUCCUCGUAUUCGGAGCUUGCUGGUUUUGUUCUCAUUUCCAGUUACGACGCAAUUCUAAAAAUGCUCAGUUCCGGCCAGUCGUUGAAUCUUUUUCAGUCUUUCUUUUACUGGAAUCGAUCAGCCUAUUGAAUUGAUAAUCUUGAUAUAAUUUAAGUCAAGUCCAAUACCUUGAUUUCGAUAUUUUCAGAAUCAGAACUCUCAAAUUGAUUUUGAUCCAACUUACUAAAUUGAUUCUCAUACUAACCCGACCUGUGGCUAGUGUUAAUUUUGUUACUAAAAUAUAUAUAUAUAUAUAGCUUAUUGUUUAAAAAGAAAAAAGACUUAAUUUAAUAUAGGAGUUUUUUUUUUUUUCUAAAUUGAAAUCAAAUAAUCCUAAUUUUUUAGUUUCCUUUGUUUGGAUGGAUGAAAUGUGAUUCACGGAUUUGAAUGAUAUUUUUGCAAUGGAAUUAAGUUGUCUAAAUUCCAUCAUUAAUUAAAAAAAUAUGGUCUUAGAGAAAUUUUACCUAUUAAGGGGUUUUUUUUUUUCCUUCUAAAAUUGUAGAACUGAGGUUAUGAUUGGUAAAUUUCAUGAAUAUUUUUUCUCAACAAACAAAAGAAUUUGUUAAAUCUGUAAUAUUUAAAUUGUAUCAUUCAAAUUUUACUAAUCAAAGCAAUUUCAAAGUGCAUUUCUUAUAAUAAUAACUUCAACAAAUACCCGUGAUAACUUGGUCUAAUAGUUAAAGCACACUAGAUCUCACUAUGAUGAUCGCAUGGUCGAAUUGUGAAGUUGGCAUAUUAAAAAGGUCUUUUAAACAUAAUUGCUCUUCGGCGCAUAAGAAAGUAGUCUCUCGUCUAAUAUUAUAACGCCUUCUAUACUUACUAUGAUUACUUGCCUUUUUUUCAAAAAAAAAAAAAAAUUAUAUACACAUAUUGUUUUUAAAUAUAAUAUUAUGGCAAGGGAUUGAAUUACAUGGGGAAAAAAAAGUAGAAGAUUUAUAGGAUAAACAAUAUAAUAUUUACAGUUGCGCAUCCAAAAUUACACGGUCCAAACCGCCCCAUUCAUUAAUUUUAUUUAAUGAAAUUAAAAUAGAUAAGUAUAUUAAGACUCAAGAGAGUUAAAAAAAGAAAAGUUAAAAAAUGAUAAUAUAAAAAAAAGGCAAGUUAAGAGUUUGCCUUAAUAAUAAAAUGAAAAGUAAAAAUAUUACAGCGGUUUAUGAGCUGGCUUUAUUUAUAAUGAUAAGUAUGAUAUAUUAUCUCUGUUUUUAGUAAUGUAAUAUGAUAUGUUAUCUAAACGCAUGGAUAUGUUAUCUAAAUGCAUGCAUGUAAUUAUAUAUGUUAUUUUAUGAUGUGCUUAAUUUUUCUCGUGUUAUAGUCGUUCAUGUAAUUUUUUAUUUAUAUAAUAUUAAAAUAUUUUUAAUAGUGAUUAAUUUAUAUUGCAUUUUAUAUAUAUAAUAAUUUUUUUUGUUACAUGUCUUUCAAUGUAACAUUUAAUUAAAAAGAACCACUCAAAAAAAUAUUUAAUUAAAAAGAAAAUGAUACUUAUAUUAUAUUUUUAAAAUAACACUUUUUAUUUGUAUUCUCUUUGAGCUAUUGAUUCACUACAACGUGGAAAACAUCUGUUAAUUAGGUAAACUGAGUUGAUAUUAGGUUUGAUUUUGUAAGAUCAACCGAACCCCAAUUUAAACUUAUUAUAAGAAAGAAGAAGAAAUAGGAUUGGAGUUGAGAGUCCUUAAUAUGAACCUGUUUUGAUGACGUAGUUUAUUUACUUUUUGGUCGUAGUUGAUUCUUUUUGUGUACGUACAUAUACGCCAACGUCACGUCAAUAGCACGCAGAAUGCAUGUUUCCUUUUCAUGUAGUUUGUUUGGACGUGUUUGGUUCAUUCAAUUCGUUGUUUUAGUUCAAUAAACAGGUGCUUUUGGAUUGCUGAGGUUUUUAAUAAAUCCGGGUCGAACACCUUGAUUUCAGUAUUUUCAGAAUCAGAACUCCCCGAAUUGAUUUUUCUAAAUAUAGCAGUAAUAUAUUUUUCUAAAUUGAAAUCAAAGAAACCUAAUUUUUUAGUCUCUUUCAUCAAAUUGAAAAAACAAGCACUUAUUUUAAUUAAUAAAAUUUGAAAUCCAUGGAUUUGAAUGUUAUUUUUCAAUAGAAUUAAAUGGUUUAAAUUCAAUCAUUAACGACCAACAAAGUAUUGGUUAAGGUGGUAAGCAAUCUCGAUGUCCAUAAAGGUGUCAGAUUGUGACAUCCUUUUGUUCAAUUUCUACAUAUUUUCCAUGAAAUACUUUAUGAAUGAUGAAAAUCUAAUAAUAUAACGGAAGCAAAAUAUGGAGAUAUAUUAAUAUAUUUAAAAAAAAAAAACAGAAACAGACCAGUUGUAUUUCAUAAACCGCAAAGAUGGUGUUAUAAUUCUUCCAUUUGAGUUUUGGCUUCUCGAGGGCAAAGGCAUAUACAAAUUGUGAAAAGCUCUUGAUAGUGAAUGAGAGCUGGACGACACUAACCUAAAAUAUAGUUAUAUUAGCGGUGGUGUGAUAGUUUCACAGCACCUAAAACUAUGUUACUACCAACUAAAACGUCACGCUCUUCUUCCAAAUAUGCACCAACUUCAAAAAAUUUAUGAUAAAAACAAAGUUUAAACAACAUUCCUUUGAGCAUUUAUAAUUUAUACUUUUAUUUGGGUUAAUUAGGUAAUAUAUAUCUAUCCUUCCGAUGUCAUUAAUUAAAAUUAUUUAUACCGUUACUAACUUGGUGAAUUCGAGUGUAAUCUGAUUUAUUUUCUUCUUUUCUGUCAGAAUGUGAGAGAUUUUUUUAAAUCGAGAAUUUAAUGAGUCAAAGAGAGACCUAUUUAUUUUGGUUCAUUAAUUCUUAUAAUGAAUAAAAAAAAUAUACCCUCGAACAUGAUAAUCACACCAACGAUUAUAUGAAAAGAAAAAAUAAAUCUUUUUAAGUGAAUUCAAUGAAUACAUUUUGAUCAACAUGCUAAAAUAUAAAUAUCAAUAUUCUAACUUGUAAUGCCCUAGAUUUUUUUUAUUAUCUAAAAUAAAUAAUGCAAGUGACUAAAAUGGUUAUUCAAAUUGAUAAAAUUCUACUUAUUUUAAUUUGAGUUCAUGAAUAUAAUGCUUUUACUAUAAUGUAGAAUAAAAGAUUUCUGUAUUGAUACAGAACUCAAAUAAUAUGACACUUGUGCAUAAUAUAUAUAUAUAUAUAUAUAUAUAUAUAUAUAUAUAUAUAUAUAUAUUCUAUACCUGACGAGAUUGAAUUAAACGGAAAAAUUAAAAGAUUUAUAGAAUAAAAAAAAAAAAAAUUUACUGUAAGCUUUAAUUACAAAUGACUGAAAAAUAUUAAAAUUUAUAAAUUAAAUAAUAAAGAUAAAUCUUAUUAACAUAAAUUUAAUUUUCAAAAUUAUCUAAUUCUACUCAUUUAGAAAUAUUAACUCAAUUAAAAAUAAGUGAUCAACUUAAAUAACUCCUUGAAUUAUGGUUCAGCAAAUUAUAUUUACAUUAAUAAUCUCAAUUAUUAAUAUCUUUUUUGAUAUUAAUAUCAGAAGUUCAAAUUAUGAGUGUUUCAAGUAAUUGCAUUUAUAUUAUCGUUCUAAUUUAAAUUAUUCUUAUUUAUAAGAAGUUCUUAAUCUUAAUUAGUGCUAUAUUGUUUGAGAAAAGCGGGAUUCGAACCUGAAUCUAUUGUCGGAUCAUAUAUACACUUGCCAUUAGAAUAUGCUUUAGUGUGUAUGAUUAUAUUUCUAUAAUAUACUAUAAUAUAGAAACCAUAAUGUCUUGAAGUAACCAUAAUGUCUCUUGAUUGAAAAUUUUCCACCUGCAACUGGAAGAUGCUAGUAAAGAAUCUAUGCCUUCAUGUGUAAACUUGGCCGUUGAGACCUUUAUGUAAAAAGAAAGACUAGUGACAUUUUGACCGUAAUUUUUAAGGAUUAAACCUAUAAAAAUAUCCUCAAUGUAACAUCCCUUCCCGGUCCACCCAUUAACCCUAAUGAACCGAGCCGAGACGCUACAAUUUGGUUGAACCUAUGUCCUGUCAUGCUGAUAUCAUCCUGUAUGCUAAAUAUUAUGUCAUGUUUAACAUCACUCCCAAUUAAACUCCAAACUUCCAACAUCUCCAAAUAAUCAUCAUAACACAAUAACACUAUUAUAUUUUCAUAACUGUAUAAAUCCUCAAUAGUAUUGAAUAUCCAUCAAAUAAUUGCAUUCAUGACAUAUAUCAAGUCUUAAUGAACUAUUUAAAAUAUUUCAUAUUCAAUCAUUUAAUAAGUAUUAUUCUUCUCUCCAAAUACUUACGCCAAAAUAAUUACAUGCUUCAAUUAUAUUUCCAAUAACAUAAUCUCUACAAAUGUAAUAAUUAUACAUGCUAUAAUUCUUAAUUAUAUAAAUCUCAAUCUCCUACUACCAAAGUAGUCACUUCUGCUUUGAUAUUACUCUUCACAUCUUCAAGUAGCAACCACAAUCUUCAACCUACGCGUAAUAAAAAUCGACGCGCUGAGUAUAAAACUCAGUGGUGCUCAUAAUUCACAUACUUACCAAAGUUGCGAUGGCAACUUACUUAAAAUACAAAUUUCAUAAAAUCAUUGAUAAUCAUAGAAUCAUUAAAUUUCAACAUAAAUUUACAUCUAUAGCAAAGAAAUAUCAAAUAAUCAUAUAAUUAAUAACAUACAUAAUUUAGUUCUAAUUAUACCAGAAAUCCUUUACAUAACCAUUUAAUCACACAUAGCAUUAUAUUUUCAUGAUCUUACCUUAUGUUCCUUAUGCUGUAUGAAUUAAAGAAAUAAACAUGUAAGCCCUAUGCUGUAUGAAUUAAAUAAAUAAAUAUGUAAGCACACAUAACAUUAUUAUGACUUAUGUAAUUUUUAGUCAACAUCGUAUAAGUUAUAAAUAAUAAAAUCUCAUAACUGUAUGGCUCCAUAAGGUUAUAGUGAAACCUAAGUGAUAAGAAGAACUGUAUGAAACUGGAUGAAUACUGUAUGGCUGGGCUGCUAUGGCCCAUAUAUAAUCAUAUCCACUCAACGGCCUGUAGCCGGAGUAACAAACUGUAUGGGGCGCAGAUAUGCUAUUCUAUGUCGCGAUAUAGCCUUAUCUACAUGGUUUCUACUUAACCUCAAUGGAGCAUAUUAUCUGUAUGUCAUUAAUACAAUCAACAUAUUAACUUAUUCAUGAAAUGCAUAAACCAUACUGUUUAUCUGUAUGCUGUCUCAUUAUGUAUGUUGCUAACCUGUUUCAUGCUUUCAUGCUUUAAAAAGGAUGUCCUAGACAAUUAUCAGUAAUAUCUAAUGAGUAAUAAUGCAAACAAUUAAUCACUUGUAAAGGAACUUGCAUGGAAAUAAUUUGACUGUUGCACCCGCGACACAACUCUUACUAAUCUUUAUGUAACUUAAUUUAUACCAAUCAAAUUAACAAAAUUCUUGAUUUUAAUAUAAGUUAACUCAGAAGGUUAAAUUCAGUAAAUAUCUUAGGCUGAAUGAAUCUACAUAUGCAUCCCAACAUCAUGUCUAAUGUAGCCUUGAAAUCUGCUAAGGCUGCCUGUACAUGUUUUACAAAUACUAGCAUAACUCUGUCUUCAUAAGUCCAAUUUAGGUAAUUCAAAAUUCUAUGGUGAGCUAACACAUUAGGGUACAAAUAUGUCUUCUAGCAUAUCUCUUAAUUAUGUUAGUAACGUAGUCAAAUAUUGAGCUAAAGUAACAACUUCCAGUCUGCCCAGCUUUUGGUUUCCAGCCUGCACAGUUUAUACCAUUUUGGACAUAUCUUUUAAUUUAUAAGUCCAAUUUAGAUGAUUUCCAAGCUUAUGGAUAGCUAAAACAUAAAGGAACAAAUAACUCUUAUACCACUUCCUAAUUCCAUCGUUUUCGUUUCUCAAACCUAUGAUUCAAGACAUAGAAAAUAUUCAGCAUUAAAUAAACUUUGACCUUUGCUGAGUGUUUAAGACAUAUAAAUUGAGUUAUAGGGCUUUAAAUUAAAUGAAAUUAGAUUAAUUAGAAAGCUAAGACAAAUUUAUACAAAUUUUAUAAAGGGAUCACAACCCAGAUCAAUGUGUAAGAUGGUGAACAAAGACUAGGAACACAGACCAACAGUCUAGACCUGAUUCAGCAGAACCAAGUCAACUGUUUGUUGUAUUUCUACUUAUCCAAACACUAAAACUAAACCAAUCCAAAACCAGAGAAGUCUAAAGACAUAGGGUAACAACUCUCAUGAAGACCUUAGAACAUAUUCUUGCCAUUAUAGUUGUCAAAAUGGGCACUCAAGUCAGUGAUGCAUGUGGCCCGUCAUAACAGAGUCAGUUUGGGUGUUUUAGCCAUAAGUGGAGCUAUAUAUAUCCAAAUUGAACAUAAGAGGAUGGGUUGGAAAGCUAAGAAGUAGACCUACAACUUUCAUGAAGAACUCAGAUACAACUGGAAAAUAAAAAGGAUCGAUACAUAGUCUUUAAUGCCACCUAAUAACACUUUUUCCCAAUUUCAGCUUACUUAAAUCAUAUACAAGGUAAAGAUUUCUUCCACAUACUAAAUACUCAUCAAAUAUCAUCUUAAGAGCAUAAAUCAACAAAGGAUAACAAGAAAACUUAAGGCCUUAUUCAUCAAUAGGUUCUGCCGCUCUUGGAAGAUGAAGAAGAAAAUGUUUUCCUCAUCAAUUCAACAUAUAGGCAUGCUUAGAAAUCUCUCAAGAACACAUUUAUACCACCAAAAUUGAAUAAUCAAAUCAUUUCAUAUAAAAUUCCCAAUUUUCACAAAAUAGUAUCAACUUCACAAAAUUAAAAAUUUAAACAAGGUAAGAGUGUUUAUGAACACUUACCUCAAAAUCAAGCUUGGAACACCCCAAAAGUCACCAAAUCAAACUUGAGUCUUGCAUUUAGCCACCUUAGAUAGCUCACCUUUUAAUUACCCUUAAAAAUUCUGCACAUCUUUAAGCUCCAAUUCAAUAAUAACCUUGAAUCUUCAAGAGGAAGGUCUUGGUUGGAGUUCAUAUGGUCUAGUUAGAGUGAUUUUUUUGUGAGAAAUUGAAAACAAUAAGGAAGAGAAGGAGAGCAUAUGGUUCGGCCAAGGAAGAGAAGAAAGAAAGAAAUGGUUGCUCAAAUCAUUCACGUUGAAGAUAAAAAGAUGAAGAGAAAAUGGUUGCUCAAAUCAUUGAGCACAAGGGUAUUUUAGUCUUUUCUCAACAUAAUUGGAUGGCUACGAUUAAGUCAAUGGUAAUCUAAUCCAAUGGCUAAAAAUAUUCUCCAAUUUAUUUCCUUCAAAAUAUUAUUUCUCUCCACAAAAUUCUUAAAUUUAAUCCUUAAAAAUAAGUUCUCUUAUUCCCUUACUUAAUAUAACACCAUCUCUAUUUACUUCAUAAAAAUAUUGCAUCUAAGUUCCUUAAUUAAUAUAACACUAUAAUUAACUAUUCACUAAUUAUCUAACUUCUCCAAAAAUAUUCAUUACUUACUUUCUACCCAUAAAAAUAAUGUAUACAUACUCCAAAAAUAUUAAAGACAAUAUUAAACAUACAUAGUAAUUUUUUUCGGACCAAAAUAAUAUCGAUUUCCGGACUGGUGGCACUAUUCACACACUGGUAAACUUACUAUUUCAGACAAAGAAAAAUGGGGCGUUACACUCAAUUUUUCGAUUUUCUGUAUAAUCACUUUAUGUUACUUUUAUAUGCUGCGCGCAAUGACGAAGUCAGGAUUAUAAUACAAAUAAUGUAUAAUAGAUGAUUUAUCAUUUAAUAAAUUAUAUACUACACUUCUCUAUUUAAAAAAUUAUACAAAUAUUAUGAGGAAUGAAAAGUUUAAUCAAUAUAAAUAACAUCUUUUUCCUCUUCAAACAAACUCAAAAUUUAUUGAAUAACAAUUUCAUAAUAAAAGGUUCUUUCGCUCCAUAAAAAAUCAUUCUUUUGAUUUCAUAGUUAAAAACAUAUUUGGAUUGUUUAUGAAAGAAAUGAUAAGAUGAAUCUUAUUUUUAUAACAAUGUAACCAAAUUUAAACAAUUUAAAUGUUAAUAAUAUACAUUAAUUUAUUUAUAUAAUACGAUAAUAACAAAUGCAGAUUGUUCAAAUAAUAACUUGUUAACAAAAAAAAGUGCAUUUAUUAGAGGGCUUAACUCGUGUAGGAAUAAUUCCUCUUAACACCCUCUAAUAAAAUCCCACAUUUUAGGAGGAACUUCCAAAUGCCAUAUCUUUCCUAAUGAUCCCCCUGUAAACGUUCCCCCCCUCUCCCUAGCCAUUUCAACGCUACAUAGUAACUCGAUCUAACCCGAUACUCUCCCCUCCUAUCAAAGUGCCAAAUCAACUUAUCUUCUAGAUUAUUCACACCCAAAGGAAUAUUAAGAAUUGUCCUAAUGUCUCUUGCACUAAAUAACUCCACAAUUUCAUCAAAAUCCCAACCUCUCCUAUCAUUCGUUAUAAGAUCACACACUCUCAUAUCAAGUUCUAAAAAAUGAAUGACAUCCUCCACAUAAAAAGUAUCACUCUUGGGAAGUCAAGGAUCCUGUGUGACCAAAAUAUUCUCACCAUUCCCCACUCUCCACGUAACCCCUAACUUUAGCAUGUCCCUGACAAACAAGAUACUCCUCCAAGUAAAACUGAGAUUAUUCCCUAGUGAUGCAGAUAGAAAUCACCAUCCGGAAAAUAUUUAGCUUUGAGCGUACAAUAAAGAAGAGUAUUGGGUUCGGAUAAUAGUCUUCACCCUUACUUACCAAGCAUAGCAAUAUUAAAGCUAUACAAAUCUCUAAAACCCAUUCCCCCAUCCUUCUUGCUUUGACACAUCCUAUCGCAAGAAUACCAAUGGAUACCUUUAUUAUUCCCCCCUUUAGAACCCCACCAAUAAGAAUUCACAAUUUUUUGAAGAUCAUCACACAACGAUAAGGGAAGUAAGAACAUACUCAUACAAUAAGAUGGACAAGCUUGUGUGACAGACUUAAGUAAAAUCUCCCUACCUACUUUAGACAAGAGCUUAUUAGUCCAACAGUUAAUUCUACUCAAUAACUUGUCCUUUGAAAAAUUACAAAUAUGUUUCUUCCUUUUACUAAUUAGAGAAGGUAACCCCAAAUAUUUCUCCUCUCCUAAAGAAUUAUGAACUUCUAGGAUAUUGGACACAGACACUUUAACCAUACAUGAAACAUUAGGAUUAAACAUGAUCCUUGACUUCCUAAAAUUAACGGCUUGACCCGAAGCACUGUCAUAUUCAUCUAAAAUCUGCUUUACUCACCUACCCUCACUGUCUGAGGCCUUAAAAAAGAAAAACAAGUCAUCUACAAAUAAUAAAUGUGCCACCCUUGGACAUCUAACUCCAGCUCGACACCCAUGGAUCCAUCCUCUCUACUCAGCCUCCUUAAACAACGGGGAUAAACCUUCAGAACAAAUAAUAAAAAGGUAUGGUGAAAUAGGAUCUCCUUGUCUAAGACCCCUCUCUGGAAUAACAGGACCAACUACUUCCCCAUUACACAAGUAAGAGUACCACACAUUAGUCACACAUGCUGUCAUCCAAUCAAUCCAUUUGGUACUAAAACCCAAUCUACCCAUCAUAUCUUGCAGGAAAUUCCAAUUGACCCUAUCAUAGGCUUUAGUUAUAUCUAUUUUAAGAGUUGCCAUACCCGUACCUCCCCACGUUUCAUACUGUGAAGAAUUUCAAAGGCCACACCAAUAUUAUCCUGUAUUACUCUACCCAGCACAAAAGUAUAUUGGCUAUUCGAAAUAGUCAAUCUGAAGCAGAGCAAAUUUAGCAUUUAGUUUAUUGAAGAAGAAAAGGAAAAAUUAUAAAUAUUAAUCACGUGUAGAAUAGUUGUUUAAUCUAUCAAAAAGGAAAAAGAAAAACUAUUAAAAUAAAAAAUAUGUAGAAAAAAAAGAAAAAAAGAAACACUAUAAAAAUGGAUUAAAAAGAAAAUUUUAAAAUUAAUGGUAUAUAAAUUGGUCUUUUAAUUAACCAACAAGAAAAGCUAUUAAAAUAAAAAAUUAUGUAAAUAAAAUUUAAAAAGAAAAAGAAAAACUAUGAAAAAGGGAAAAGGAAAAGUAUAAAAUAACAGGGAGCAAAGAAAAAAAAUUAAUAAAAUUAUAUAUAAAUGGAAAAACAAAAAGUAUAAAAAGGGGAAAAAGCAGAAAUUGGAAAACUAAAAUAAUAAAAACCAGAAAAAAGAUCACAAUAAGUAGUUUCAAACAUUGGCUGACAAUAUAAACUCACAACAUUUUAGCCACUAUACCAAACUACACUACAUUUCCUUUCUACCACUAAAUUAUUUUAUAAAACAAUCCAGGGGCAUGGCCCCCUCCUCCCCUUCUCUCCACUCCCUCUGCUAUUGGUUGGGCAUAACUAUUUUGAAACUUAUAUAUAUUAGCACCACAAAUAUAAACAAAUAUUUAAAAUAAAAGAAAAAUGAUAUAAAACACAAGACAAGCCAAGAAUACUCUCAAGGAGAUCUCAAUUAAUAAAAAUUCAUUUUUAUUAAAUCUCAUAAAAUUAAAAAAUAUAUUGAAACAAACAAAUAAAAUUACAAUCUUGAUAUAGAUAUAGAAGAGUUUGUGAUAAAAUUAGAGGGCUUAGAGAAACUAAAUCCGUUGAUGAUGCAUAGAAGCUUCGAUGAAUAUGAAUUCAUUUAGGAUCUAUGGCAAGGUCAUGAUUCAAAGAUGGAUUGGAGAAAGAGGAAGAGAUGCCAAGGUUAAAGAGAGAGAAAGUGACUGAAUAAAUUGUGGACUUCAAAAACUGGCAUUUAAUGGUUGUGGGUUAAGCUUACCAAAGAUUAAGGCCUCGUUUGGUUCAAAUUCAUCUACUUUCCGAGGAGUUCACUUCCUAGAAAAUAAAGUUUCAAAGAAGUUACUUCUUGAAAAGUACAGUGUGAAUAUGUUUUGUUGAUAUAUUGAAUUCCCAAGAAAUAAAAUUGUGUUAAUGAAAUUUUACAUAUGAAAGGACAAUAAUACUCCUACCAUGAAUUUAAAUAUAAUAAUUGAAAUAAUUCAUUGAAAGCGCAAAAUGGAGAUUGUUAAAUUCUAAAGGUCAAGAAGUGUACUUCCUUAGGUUGAGGAGAGGAAGUAACUUCCUGUACGGACAAGAAGUUGAGCAAUUCAACUUUUCGAGAAGUUCUUUAUUUUUGGAAACCAAACAUAAUCAAAUGCAUCACUUUUCAGGAAGUUUAAGUUCCUGAUGUAACACCCUAUGCGAAUCUCACAUCGGCUAAACACAAGGUGUAAAUGAAACCCAUAAGAAUGGGCAAGUUUUAAACUAGCAAGAAGCCAUAAGGCAUGAGUUGGUUCGGCCAGAGUAAAUAGUAUCUUGCAAUGUUUAAGAUGGAUGUGAGUUGGUUUUAUCUUGGCAACUUGUAAAGAGGUUUUUUUGGCUAUUGUUGGUUGUAGCUCAAGAACAAACCCGUGCGGGCCUGAGUAAGUUCGGUCCAAAGCGGACUGUAUCUUGCUAGCUCAAACUUAUUCUAAAGCCUAGUCUUAACUCCAUAUUGGAGUGUUAAAUGCUAUAAUAUCUAAGUUUUAAAAUAGGAGUGCUUGGGAUACAUAAGUGCUAUAAUACCUAAGUUUUAAAAUGAGAGUGCUCGGGAUACAUAAGUAAAAAUAGAGUGAUUUCGCGAUAAGUUAAAAAAUUGAGAGUAUUUUGAUAGGUUUGUCCAUAUUUGAAGAUAAACUCAAAGUAGUAAUGUUUCUUUGAGAUUUUAUCAAUAUACAUUUCAUCUUUCUUCACAUUUCAAAUUUAAACAUUUUUCUCUUUAUUGUGUGGUCCAUUAAUAUUAUCAUUUUAUGGAGUAGCCAAUUCCCUUAACAAGAGGGCAACUAUUAAGGAUAGGCGAAUGAUAAGUUUCAAGAUUAUCAUUUUCCCCCCUAUCAGCAUAGAGUACUGUGUUUAUAAAGAUAAAACUUGCAUACGUCUGGUGUAUAGAUGGUCUUAUAUAUCAAACCAAUCAAAAAGUAGCAUUUUAAAAAAAUAUUACCGUUAUAUAUUUUUUUCCUGUACAUGAUCGUAAAUGGUUAAAUACUCUUAUUUUGAAUUAAAAUUCUAUAUGUGAUUAAUUUGAUGUACAAGUAAAUCUAUAUACUCGAUGUAGGUAAUUCUUUUCCGUAUUUAUAAAUUACCAUUGCAACAAUAUUUAUAGAUAAGUUUUCAUAUCCAUCAAUAUACUCACCUUUAUGUCCACCGCCUGCAUUACUCGUAUGUCAAUACAUUUUUUAAAAGAGUAGGCUUUUGCGGGGCUUCCCUUGUUAUUGAUUAAAUUUCACAUGAAAAGAAAUUAAAAAUUAAUAAAUAAUCUUUAUGUCUCACAUUAUAAAUCGUUUAAUAUUUUUACACGAAAAUUAAAAAACUAUGAGUAACUUUAUUCUAUCUAAUGUAAAUAAGAGUGAUAUUAAAAAAUUAUCAUUUAUUAUUCUUUAAAAUACUUAAAACGAUUUAUAUUUUGGGAUAUAAUGAUCACUCAAAAUGAUUUAUAUUUUGAAAUGGAGAGAGUAGUUAGUACUAGAAAUCAUUUUACCAAUCAAACCAUCAGCAUCAAACCUUUUAGUGUUUUGUUAAAUCAAAUGUAGUAAGGAAAAAAAAUAAUACGAUAACUUUAUUUGGUUCAAAUACUUGCCUUUUCUUGUUACAUUAUAUUGAAUGAACUUUAAGCAGAUAUAUGAAUAAUACAGGUAUUUGGCUUUCCAAUUCGUUGCUCUUUUCCUGAAAGAAGCCAAUUCUAAUUAAGGGUUGAUGGAAAUCCAAUUUUUUUGCCAUUUUAAAAUGAAAAAAAAAAUAAAACUAAAAAUUUUACAAAAUUUACAUAUAUUUUUAAAAUUUAUAAAUUUAUAAUUUUUGUAAAAAGUACAAUUUUAAAUUGAAAUAACAAAAUGAAAUUUAGUGGUUCUCUUUCUCUCCUGCAUGAUAAAAUGAUAUUGUUUUUUUUUUUUUUUUUUAAAAAAAAAAAAGAAAGUGAAUGCUAAAUUUAAGGCGGAACACAAAUAGAUGAUUCCAAAAGACACAAACACACUACCACUAUCUUUUCCGUGACCAAUAACAGACAGUCACGUAUUCAUGUGCCAAUCAGACGUAUGUCCUAAUCCAUCUUCUUCGCCUAUUUAAAGACAAAGGUCCUCUGUGUUCUGUGUUUAAAGAUGUCCCUUCGCUAAAUCAAAAGGCCGAGAUUUCGGCUCUAUAAAACUCGGAUAUUUCGCGACAUUUCGUUUCCUACGGUGUAAUGGCAAUGGCUGGCUAUGGGCUAUUGAAGAUCGAUGAAGGAGAGCUAAAGAGCAAUCGAAGAACAUCGCGUCUCGCUUCUCUUGAUGUCUUUCGCGGCAUCUCCAUUCUUGUGAGCUUUCUUUAGCUUUUCUUGUUUUCUUUUAAUUUAUGCCACGUUUUUGAUUGGUUGCUGAGAAAAUGCCAGAAAAUGAACCGCCGCAUGAAAAUAAUUCAAUGGAAAUUAAGCCAAAAAAAAAAAAAAAAAAGCUUCAUUUUCAGGUUUUAUUUCUCUUUGGCCUCUGUUUCCAUAUUUUUGUUAAUUUUAUGUUUUUGUUUUUUCUUUUAUUUAAAUAUUUUAAACAAACAUACAAAAAAGAACAGAGUUCAUCAUAUGAAAAAAAAAAAAAAAAUCUCAUUGAGUAUAAAUUUUUUUAAAAUAAUUUAAUAAUAUUUAUAUGAUGAGAUCCACUCCACCCUAUAUGAAAAUAAUCCACAUCAAUCUGAUCUGAAUAUGAAUUACUGGGUAUAAAAAUCAUAAAAUUUGAUUUUUAUUAUUUUUUUAUAAUAUUUUUGAAUAUAUAAUUUUUUACAAUUGUAUAAUAAUUAUAAAAACUAAAACAAUAAAUAUAUCCUAAAUUAAUUUAUUAGCGCUGUCCAACCACUUUUCAAAAUAGACUGAGUGCAGGAAUGUCCAACCGAAGCUUACCUUUCGUCCAAUCAACUUGUUAGUGGAUGAGAAAAGCAAACAUACGUUGCGUGCGUGCAUUUCGUAUAAUGCGCAAUGCAUAGCAUAAUUCGUUUGCUCUUUACGCAAUCUUUCUGACGUCAAAGUAACCUUCAGUUUUUGCAAACUGUCCGAAAAAAGCAUAGAAAUGCUCAUGGAAAAAAAUAUUUAUAUAUCUCCUUUCAAAUUGAAGACUUUUAAAAAAAUUCCAUAAAAUUUUGAUAAAUACUAUGAAUUUUAAUAUUCUCAAUCUGAAACUUUUUAUAAAAAAAAGAGAGAGAAAAAUUUGAAAUGACUUUCUGCUUUUCAAAAAUAUUCUGAUGUAUAUAAAUAUUUUGUUUUAUUAUUCAAACGAUAAUCUAUAUUUAAAUACAGCAAAUGAUUUCAGUAAAUUUAAAAUUUAAUCUAUAGAAGAACAUUUAUAAAAAAGAAAAAAAAGAAAAGUACAGGUUUUCAAAUGGCCCAACUCACACAUUAAUGGACUAAAUUUGAGAAACUGCACUUUGUACUUCAUAAUUUAUUUAUAGGCCCACCAACAGACCCCCAUACUUUAAUGCACACGUACGGUCUUAAUUGUUUCUCGGAAGUUACUUCAAUUAAUGAAUCGAAUAACAAUUCAAUAAAAUAUAAAAUAAUAUUAUUAUUAUGAAUAACAAGUCAAUAAAAAUAAGACACUUGUCAAAAGUGAUAUAUAAAUAAGAUUUAAUUAAUUCAUUAUUUCCAUCUCUAUUUCAUUUUAUUUUCAGUUUGCAUUAUUAUAUAUGAUAAGUGUCUUAUUUUUUAAAAAUUGUCGUUCCAACAUAUAAUGGUGACAUGGCAUCGGUGUUUUAUUAUAUAAUCAUUCAGAUCAUCAUCCUUAAAUUAUUUGAUCAUUUCAUAAAAAUUAUUAUUUUAUUAAUCAGUAAGUAUUAAUAAAAAGGUAAAAAUAUCCCUUAUUUUUUUAAAACAAUAUCCUUUAAAAUACUAUCUAAUCAUUCAUAUUUAAUAAUGUGAUCAUAUUAAUUUAACAAUAAAGGCAUGCGUUUUGGAUUGAGUUGUGGUUGAUUUAGUGAAUUUUUAAUUUAGGAACCAACCAAAGAAAGAGUUUAAUAAUUAAGAGAAAUUUCAAUCAUUAAAUAACAGUUCUCUAAGAAAAGUAUUCAUCUUAGUUGGUUUUUAGGAGUGUCAAAAUGGGUUUGCAGAUAGAUUUCGACAUAAACUCAUCUACCAUGCGACAUGAUUAGAAUCAACAUAAACACGAUCUGUUUAAUAAUUAUGCAAAAUUUUUAAAUAUAAACACAAAAUGCAAAUUAAAUGAAUGACACGAAUAUGACAUUUAUAAUCUGUUUAAUUAAAUAGAUCAUAUAUGAAUCCAAAAAUUCAACCAAACUUAAUUAAAUGAGUCAAAUACGGGUUAGAACAUAACACGUAUGCAUAUACAAUAUACUUAAUAUAUAUAUUAUAUAUAUUUUAAAUGGAUUAUACAUAUCGUGUUAUCACUCGUAUACGAGUGACUCAUAUAUAUAUAUAUUUGAGUCACUCGUAUACGGGUGAUAACACGAUAUGUAUAAUUCACUUAAAAUAUAUAUAAAUCACUUAUAUACAGAUCAAAACAUGACAUGUAUACAUGUAUAAUUCACUUAAUAUAUAUAUUUAUCGUAUUAUAUAUAAAUCACUAGUGUAUGCACGAAUUUAUUUGGGCUCAACUUUAUCGUGAUUAAUUUCUCUGUUAGGCAAAUCUAAUUUAUGCGUGUGAUAGCUGAUUUUAACAUCUCUACUUUUUAGAUUGCUUCAAUCAAUCAAAACCACAUAAUAUUUCCGUUUGAUUUUAUCGGAAGCAGGUUGGCAAGUGGACCCACAUAAUGUGUGGUGGUGGUCCAUAUGCUCUAAACGCUGGAUGGGACUUGGCUAUAACUGGUGUUAAUUUCUUGAUAUCUUUAAAAAAGAUUCCACGAUUGUUCUUAUACCCAGUGGCAAACAACAGUUACAUUACUCCUGCUGAACCCAAAACCUUACUACACUUCGUAUCUUACUAAAACAAAUUCUCUUUUGACCGCUUUAAAACGGACAGCACGCUCAGUACACACAGUCAAAAGGGCUACCCGCCACCCAGCCCUUUCCUUCCUUCGUCUUCUUCUCUGCAAAAGAAAAAACGCCAAACUUAUAAUAAUCAAAGCUACAAUAUUAAUCUUCCCUUAUACUUAUUCUCUUUCUUUCUUGUUUCUCAUUCUUUUCUCUCUCCUUAUAAAAUGGCUGACUUAGAAGUGCCUUUGCUGCUGCUGCAAUCGCCGCUCUCCGAUAACAAGCCCACGCGUGUUGCUUCUCUCGACGUCUUUCGCGGCCUCUGCGUCUUUGUAACUCUCCCUACUUACCUUUCGCUUUCUCGUCUUCGUUCUUCAGAUUCUCGUCCGAAUUACGUUUUACGGUUUCUUCUUCCUCAAUUUUCAACGUUUUUAUUAUUAUUAUAAGCAUUAUUUUAGUGCCUGAGCUGUUUGGUUUAAAUUUUAGGACUGUUUGGUUUAAAUUUUAGGAAAGAAAAGUUAGUUUUAACAAAAUUUCUAGCGUAACUUGUUUGUCUCAGAACCGAAAAAGUUGUUUAUGUUUGUUAUCAAUUUGGUGGCUACAGCUAAUGAUGAUUGUGGAUUAUCUGGGAUCGAUUUUUCCGAUCAUUGCUCAUUCUCCAUGGAAUGGCCUUCGCUUGGCGGAUUUUGUGAUGCCUUUCUUUCUUUUCAUAGCCGGAGUUUCUCUUGCACUUGUUUAUAAGGUAAGUAUACUACUAUAAUUAUUAUUACUUCAAAAGAAAUGCAUGUUUGCUUUAAUUAGGGAUUUUUAUAUUCUAAUUCUGUUUUAUGAAUAGAAAAUUGUUGAUUUUGACAAUUCAACGCAUUUUGUUAAUUAUCACUUCUGAUUCACUUGCUAAUUUUAUUUGGUUAAUAUUGGCUUUUAAUCUGAAAGUUCUGUUUUUAUCAGAAAGUAUCAGACAGAGUAGAUGCUACAUGGAAGGCAGUACUUAAGGCAGCAAAAUUGUUUUUCUUGGGUGUUUUUCUUCAAGGUGACACUGUCAGACAAUUGAAUUAUUGUUGUGGAUUUUAUAGCAGUAUAUAUCUAUAAUACUAUCGGGACAUACAUUUAAUUAGCAUACAUUUGUUAAAUUGUUCAUUUUUUUUCAGGUGGUUAUUUUCAUGGGAUAAAUUCAUUGGCUUAUGGUGUUGACAUCGAAAGAAUACGUUGGCUUGGCAUUCUGCAGGUACUCAAAAAUUUCUUUCUCCAUGUAUUAAUAUUUCCUUCCUCAAUACCCUUAUGCCAUGUUCGGAAAAUUAACUGUUUAUCUAUCCUAAUAGCUAUACUAAAGUAAUAUUGUUUCAUAAUACAUUCACUCAAACUCUAAGGUCAUCGAAUAGUAUUUCAAUAUUUAUUAAAACGCUAAAAGCUACAUAAAAAGUUAUCGUUGAACGGCCCUUACACCACAUGUCUAAAUUUUCACGAGUACAGAUUAAGUGAUUGUCAUUAAAGUAGGAUUAAAAGUUUCCUUCUUAAUUACAUAAACCGUAGUCCAGUGUCAUUGUUCAUUUACGUUAGUCCUAUACAUUGUUAAACUUGUUUUUGUUGUCAUUCAAGCCAGAGAAUAUCUAUUGGCUACAUUGUUGCGGCUUUAUGUGAGAUUUGGCUUUCAUCUCGACCGAUAAGAGAAAUAGGUUUCUUCAAGCCUUAUUAUUGGCAUUGGUAAGGUUUUGAUAUCUUGCAUUGGCCUUUAUAUUAUUAAACUUCAAGCAUAAUUGACAUCGUAAAAGUGUUAUGUUUAACAAUUGUAAUGUGACUUCAAUUCUUGAUUCUAUUUCACGAAAUGGCUUAAGUAACAAUACUCAUUUAUUUUCCCUCUCUCACUUGGGCCUAAUAAGCAGGAUUUUUAAUAAAUAUUUGCCUGAUUAACACACCAUUAACUCAGAUCCUUGAACAUGUAAUACAUAGAUCAACAUUCAAUUGAUAUCUUAAAAUACUAAUCAGAUGGUGAGUAUGAGCUUAAUGGAUUGAAUUGCAAUUUUUUUUUUUUUUUAAUUUUUUGGCUUUCUUUUCUCAAUUUAUUGAUGAAGCAAAAUUUUCAGGGUUUUGGCAUUUUCAUUGUGUGCAAUUUAUACGGGAUUAUUACACGGUCUCUACGUUCCAGAUUGGCAAUUUGAAAUCUCCAAUUCAACUUCUUCUGUUCUUCCAAACAAUGGCAGUUAUGUUUACUUGGUGAGAGUUUACUGAAACCUUUUUCUUUUGCUAUUAUUAUUAUUUUUUUUUUUUUUAUGCCUGUGAUUGUGUGCAUGUAUGUGAGGGUGCAUAUAGAAAUUAAAUUCAUGGAGAACAGAACCACUAGAGAAUGCUUGUCAUUAUCUAAAUUUUGUUUGCUACAAUUUUGACCAUGUUAUGAGCGCCUUGAAGCAUUUAUCUCUGGAACUAGAACUUCUAAUGUAGAUUUCUACUAGAAUUCGUCACCUUUCUAUGAAGAGCAAGUUAAUUUGCCAACACCAUAUUAUUUCAUCGUCCAAAUACUCGACUAAAACAUCAUUAGAGGAGAGAUGUGUUUUUGAAGUACAUUUUACAUACGUAAGUCAAUACAGUCAUUGCGCAUGCAUUUUCUGCUAGUAUUAUCCUUUCAAAAUGAAGUUAAAAUUUUUAUUGCUUGACGUUUGAAGUCAUGAAUUUGAAUACAUUCUUCAUAUUUUUCACAGGUGAGCUGCUCUGUAAGAGGCGAUCUUGGACCUGCUUGUAAUUCAGCUGGAAUGAUCGAUCGCUAUGUUCUUGGUAUUGAUCAUCUCUAUACAAAACCCGUCUAUAGAAAUCUGAAGGUAUUCUAUAUUGAUCUUUUUAUGGUGGUCUUUAUCCAUCCAUAUGCAAUGUAUUGAUCCCUAACAAAAAUCUCAACUUAUAGGAAUGCAAUAUGACAAAUGGCCAAGUUUCAGAGAAUUCACCUUCAUGGUGUCAUGCUCCUUAUGAUCCUGAAGGUCUAAUAAGGUAGUUGAAAUGCAUAUCAAUAAGCUACUUAUUCAAUUAAGUUGAUCAAUAGAAUCAUGAAGAGGCAAGUGACCUGUUUUUUUUCUGUUGAAUGGUAGUUGGCAAACGUUUUUUGAAGUUCAACAAGCCAAGUGGAAGAUUUAGGAGAGUCAAAGUUGAGAUAUUAUCGAAUAAUAUAUAAUAUGAAUCAAACGUACAUAGACAGAUUAUCAAAAUCGAAGUCUAGAAAGUAGGAGGAUGUCAAAAGAUGAUAAUUUUCUACUAAACAUAAUUACACAUCAAUAUGAGUCGCAUACUAUUCAGUCUUAUUUUUGACAAUUAGGUAACGCGCUAAAAUUUAUUGUGCCUACAGUUCCUUGACGGCUGCAGUUACCUGCAUUAUUGGACUUCAAUUCGGCCAUGUCCUUGCUCACGUAAAGGUGAUAUCAUAUGCAUUCUUUACUCUCCCCGUGAAUUUUCUUUUCUUAUCUUUUUCACCUGUAGUUAUUUAUGGUCACUGUCGUAUAGGAGAUUUAUAAUGAUGUGCAAAAGCAUUCUGCUUUGAGCUACAUGCUACUGCUAUUUCACGUACUAUAGAACAAUCACCAUUUUGGUAAUUGCUUGUCAAGCUUAUUGACGUUACUUGUUACACAUGCUUUUCAGGACCACAAAGGGCGGGUGGAAUGUUGGUCUUUCUUCUCAUUUUCACUUCUUCUACUUGGAUCAUCCCUCGCCUUCGUAGGUAUGCUCGUCAACAGCGCAUAACUUUUGCCUUCAAUAAGUACCUAUCGACACAUUUUUGUUAUGAAGAUAGAUAACACUUGUUGCUAUAGAAAACAUUCCAUCCUCAAAAGUAAAGCAAGGUGCUCUACUAAUAAGAACAAAUUGAUCUCCCCCAAUUUGUUCAUUUUAGCAAUCAAUUUUAGGUUCUUAGUAAAUACAUAUUGAAAGCAAAUCUUUGAUCUUCCCCUUUUGUUUUGCAGGCAUCCCCGUGAAUAAAUCUCUCUAUACAAUUAGUUAUAUGCUUAUUACUUCUGCUUUGGCAGGAAUCACAUUCUCAGUUUUGUACUUGGUGGUGAGUCAAUUCUACCUACUAUUGGAAGCAAAGCAUAAUCUUUAGCAGCUUCUUAGAUUUUCCAAGAAAUAUAUACUUGUCAGAUUUGACUUAAAAAUCUAAUUUGGUUGCUCUUGCAAAGAAGCCAACUGAAGCAUAAACCACGAGACCAUGAAAACCCUACUCUAUACUUACUGAAAAUUGAAGCAAAAGAUUAUUUUCAUCUUUCUUAACUCUGAAUCAUCACAACUUAAAAUCCCUCAAACCAAAUAUACUCCUCGUUCCUACUAUUUGACAUUUUUAUCUCUUUUUCUUACUGUUUAUAUACUGCCUGCUGUAGGUAGAUGUAUAUGGUUACAGAUGGGUGUCAUUACCGUUGGAGUGGAUGGGAAGGCAUUCCUUGAGUAUCUUUGUCCUUCUAACAUCUAACUUAAUUAUUAUUGCAAUUCAAGGAUUCUACUGGUCUAAGCCUGAAAACAACAUAGUGAGUGUUUAGAAGAUCUACUGCUUUUUAUUCACUUGCUACUAAUAUGUAAAUCCAAAGACAGCUAACACCACAUUUUUUUUCUUGUUGCCUCACUUUUUUAACAGAUUCACCAGAUUGUCGCAUCCUUCGUGCACAGAUGAUACAUAUGGUCAUUGGGUCGAAUUACAUGGUUAGAGAUUUUGAAUCUUGCUUUUAAGAUAGGGUAAAACACUGAAUUCUCUAGCCAAUCUCUCUUUUCAGACCACAUUUUAUAAUAGUGUUUUGGGAAAUCAAGGACAUAUUAUUAGUACCUAGUGAAUCUUUUUACUUUUCCCCCUCUAUAUACAAAAUGAAAGUGAUAUAUAUAAAAAUGUAUAAGCUUUAGACUAGCAAGAGCCAUUGACUGAGUACGAGGGAAAGUGAUAUUUAUAAAAAUGGGUAAGCCCUUAGACCAGCAAAGAGGUCUUUUGAGGGUGAUGGAUCAUCCAUUACCCUCGAGAACAAAACUGUGCAGACUGGAUCCAAAGCGGACAAUAUCUUGCUAGGCCUAAAAUGCCAUAUAUAAUGAGUAAAAUCACUUAACUUCUAAUAAAAUGAUUAAAUAGUUGAUGUUUUCAUACUAUAGAAACUAAAUAAUUUCUUCCAAAAAUAGAAUAACUUACGGGAUAAUGGUAAUAUUUACCCCUCUACUUACCUCUACUUACGGGAUAAUGGUAAUAUUCAGGUUUACAGAUUCAAGUGGCAGGACAAAUUCAAGCUUGAGUUAAUGUUCAAAUUAACACUCUCCUGAGGCCACUAAGAGGUUCAGCGAACACAAGGUCGCGAAGCAAUCCAAAUUCCGCAAUUGUCCAGUGUUUUUGCAUGAAAUGCGGCUCUCAGCUGUCAAGGCUUGUGCCUUGUUCUUGACAAGAGUUAUAACAUGCUCUAGACAAUAUUGUAGUCUUAUUCAAUUUUAAAUCAAUCAAGGGAAGCAAUGAAACAAUUUUAUGCAAAUUAUAUUACACUUUCCAAUUUAUGACUUGGUCUGAGGCAGAUAUUGAAUCAUGCCAAUAAAAAAAAAAUUUAAAAAAAAAAAAAAAAAAAAAAAAAAAAAAAAAAAAAAUACUGCCUGCUGUAGGUAGAUGUAUAUGGUUACAGAUGGGUGUCAUUACCGUUGGAGUGGAUGGGAAGGCAUUCCUUGAGUAUCUUUGUCCUUCUAACAUCUAACUUAAUUAUUAUUGCAAUUCAAGGAUUCUACUGGUCUAAGCCUGAAAACAACAUAGUGAGUGUUUAGAAGAUCUACUGCUUUUUAUUCACUUGCUACUAAUAUGUAAAUCCAAAGACAGCUAACACCACAUUUUUUUUCUUGUUGCCUCACUUUUUUAACAGAUUCACCAGAUUGUCGCAUCCUUCGUGCACAGAUGAUACAUAUGGUCAUUGGGUCGAAUUACAUGGUUAGAGAUUUUGAAUCUUGCUUUUAAGAUAGGGUAAAACACUGAAUUCUCUAGCCAAUCUCUCUUUUCAGACCACAUUUUAUAAUAGUGUUUUGGGAAAUCAAGGACAUAUUAUUAGUACCUAGUGAAUCUUUUUACUUUUCCCCCUCUAUAUACAAAAUGAAAGUGAUAUAUAUAAAAAUGUAUAAGCUUUAGACUAGCAAGAGCCAUUGACUGAGUACGAGGGAAAGUGAUAUUUAUAAAAAUGGGUAAGCCCUUAGACCAGCAAAGAGGUCUUUUGAGGGUGAUGGAUCAUCCAUUACCCUCGAGAACAAAACUGUGCAGACUGGAUCCAAAGCGGACAAUAUCUUGCUAGGCCUAAAAUGCCAUAUAUAAUGAGUAAAAUCACUUAACUUCUAAUAAAAUGAUUAAAUAGUUGAUGUUUUCAUACUAUAGAAACUAAAUAAUUUCUUCCAAAAAUAGAAUAACUUACGGGAUAAUGGUAAUAUUUACCCCUCUACUUACCUCUACUUACGGGAUAAUGGUAAUAUUCAGGUUUACAGAUUCAAGUGGCAGGACAAAUUCAAGCUUGAGUUAAUGUUCAAAUUAACACUCUCCUGAGGCCACUAAGAGGUUCAGCGAACACAAGGUCGCGAAGCAAUCCAAAUUCCGCAAUUGUCCAGUGUUUUUGCAUGAAAUGCGGCUCUCAGCUGUCAAGGCUUGUGCCUUGUUCUUGACAAGAGUUAUAACAUGCUCUAGACAAUAUUGUAGUCUUAUUCAAUUUUAAAUCAAUCAAGGGAAGCAAUGAAACAAUUUUAUGCAAAUUAUAUUACACUUUCCAAUUUAUGACUUGGUCUGAGGCAGAUAUUGAAUCAUGCCAAUAAAAAAAAAAUUAAAAAAAAAAAAAAAAAAAAAAAAAAAAAAAAAAAAAACACUAGAAAAGCUCUAAUAUUCGAGAAUCUCAUCGUAAAGCAAUAGUAUGAUUUACACAUUCACCCAAUACUCAGGGUUGUUAAAAUUGUGAACAUAUUUAAAUAAAUAUGAAUUUGGAUUGUAAUUAUAUCUAUUUUUAAGUGUAAUCCUUAACAUAUUUUAAAAACAAGGUGAUGUAAUUUACAUAACAUACCAGGAUCAUUAAUGUUUAAUAAUAAUUUGUUUCUCUAAUCCUCAAAUAGGACAUACCUCGGAAGCACAAGCAAUGCAAGGUACCAAAGAUGUCAAAACCAACUUGAAAUCCUGUGUGGUUUCAAAUGUUCGCAAUUCAUCAAUCAACGAGCUGCUACUUCAGUUGAUAGGAACUGCUUCCUAUCAAUAAAGAUUUAUGUUUGUUUAGAACUGAAACUCUCCUUUUCAAAUAACUCUUAACGAUAGAAAAGAUACCAACUCAAAUUUUAAGUUACCUUCGUGCAAGAAUUUCUCUGUUGAUCAAAUAAUGAGAGGCCUUAUCCAACACUGGGCAGAGACUUGACUACAAGUAACAUCAAUAGCAAUCUUGCAGUUUCCAGCUACAAAUUCAACUUGAGAUAUAAAAAGAUGCAGAUGCAUUAUAUUCUCACUUCCCAGGGAGGUCACUCCACAUCUGCCUAGCAAAGCAGCUCAUCUGUGCUAGUUGCUCACGAUUGGCUUGUAAAAUGCACCAUAUGCUACAAUCACAACAAACUUCUCUGUGCGGCUUGGGAUAGAUCAUAGUAAGUUUCUGUGUGAACGCUUCAACCUAAUAUGAAGGACAAAGAAAUCAAAAUGCAAACAUUAGAAAAUAUGCUUAAAAAACAAGUGAACAAUAGAUAUGAAGAAAACUCAAAUCCCAAGUCUCCAACGAAAUGAUUUUGUGAACUCAGACUAAACUUUCUUCAUAUCUAACAACAUAUUAGAUAUGAAGAAAGUUUAGUGAGUUGUAAUUUCCUGGCACUCUAUGUGAUUCUCCAAUCCAUUGUCUCUAGUUAACUGUGUCAUUUCGAACUAAUCCACCACUUUGUAAAGCUUGUUGAUAAAGUUCAUGCAACUUAAUUGAUGUAUUGAUCAGCAUAGCCAUUAUCGUCCCAAGCAUACUAAUUCAGGUAUUUAACCAAUCCUACCAAAGAACUAACAUAAUUGAUGAGAAACCCAAUUACGAAAAUGAUUAUGCAAUAUCAUUCAUGCAAUCUUUACUAUUUCAAUAUUGAUAACCAAUAAAUAUUCCUCCAUUUAAAUUGAAAAUUAAAUUAAAUGAUAAAAUAAGGGCAAAAUCAAGGAGUUCACAUGCAGCACUUGAUGUUGAGAUCGUGUUUUGGGGAGUUUGAGCUAAAGAUUGAUAAGGACAGAGACAAGACCUACAUACCGCCGCAUAAUCAUCAACACUAGGAGGAAUCUACCCAGCUAACUGCUGCUUCUUUCUUGAUAUUAUUCCUUUCCAUUAUUACUCUUAUUUCUGAUGCAUUUUCCCAUUGUCCCAUAUCGGCAUACAUGUUGUAUAACAAGACAUAUGGAACUGAGCUAUCUGGUUCGAGUUUCAUUAAUGCUUCAGCAGCAAUACGGGCAAUCUCUGCAUUGUUAUGGACCCUAGAAGCACCCAAUAAUGCACCCCAAACAGCCUUAUCUGGCUUAAAUGGCAUGCCAUUGAUCAAAUCCAAGGCCUCUUCAAGCUGUCCAUGCCGACCCACAAUGUCAACUAGGGAAGAGAAGUGUUCAAUCCUUGGCUCGAUGCCAUAUUCACUAACCAUGGAUUUAAAUAUCCCUCGACCUUCUUCAACCAGUCCAGCAUAAGCACAGGCAUUCAGAGCAGAAAUAAAUGUUAUAUAAGUAGGCUGCACUUUGGAAAUUCUCAUUAAUUUGAAAAGUUCCAAGGCCUCUGCAGCAUAACCAUGGGAUGCAUAUCCUCCAAUCAUUGCAUUCCAAGAAAUUACUUCUUUAUGCGGUUUCAUUUCAUCAAAAAUGGUCCAUGCCUCAAUUAUUGCCCCACAUCUUGAGUACAUCGUGAUGAGGGCAUUAUUCAAUGGCACAUCUGGGAUAACUGUCUUUCUGACCAGCUGAUGAAUCUGCAUACCCAAGUGCAGAUCCACAAUUCCAGAAGAUGCACUGAGAAGCGAAGAUAAUGUGUGUCGGUCAGGUUUCUCUCCUUCAACUUGCAUCCGAAAGAAGACCUUAAUUGCUCCUUUAUAAUCCUCCUUCUUCUCAUGCCCCGCAAUCAUGGAAUUCCACGACACCAAAUUCUUCUGGGGCAUCCUCUCAAAAAACUCAUGAGCAAGUUCCAAAUUACCUACCAGGGCAUGUCCUGAUAUCAUUGAAUUCCAUGAAAAGGAAUCAGGAUUUGGCAUUUUGCAAAAGAGGUUUGACGCCUCCUCCAUAUCUGAGACAUGAACAUAUCCACUAAUGAUGGUAUUCCAUGAAAAAGUGUCUAGUACAAUCAUUUGGUCAAAGAGUUCCCUAGCAGAAACAAUAUCUCCAGCCUUCACAUAGCACAUUAUCAUGGUAUUCCAUGACACCACAUUUCUCUCAAACCUCCCUUUACUUCCUUUUUGUUUGUCAUUAUUACUUGGCAUCUUAUCAAAAAGUUUCCGAGCUUCAUCCACCCUUCCUCUUUGACCAUAUCCCGCAAUCAAAGUAUUAUAAGCAUGCACCAACUCCUCUUUCCCACUAUUAUUAUUUCCAUAGUCAAGCAAAAUUUUUGCAGCUUCCUCAAGCUUCUCAUUAUGAAUAAGACCCGAUACAAGUGCACUCAACGAUGUUGAAUCCCUCUCUGGCAUUCUCUCAAAAAACUCAAUUGCACGCGCCACAUCACCAUUUUGCAAAAAACCAGAAACUAUAGCAUUCCAAGAAACAGCAUUUGGCUUAGGCAUUGUAUUAAAAAGCUGCAGAGCCUCCUCUAUUCUCCCAUUCCUUGCAUACCCACUAAUCAUUGUGUUCCAAGAAACGCAGUCCCUCUUUGGCAUUUUAUCAAACAAGCACCUUCCCUCCUCUAUAAACCUCUUCCCACGACAUGACACAUACCCCGAAAUCAUCAAAUUCCACGACACAACAUCCCUCUUUGGCAUUUCAUCAAAAAGCUUUCUUGCUUUAGUCAUCUCACCCUGUCUCGCAUACCCACUGAUCAUUGAGUUCCAUGAGAUGGUGUUUCUUUGCUCCAUUUUAUCAAACAAUGCCCUUGCAUCAUUAAUCUGACCUGUCUGGUUGAAACGCGUGAUUUUUUUAUUCAGGGAAAACAAGUCUCUGUCGCAAUCAUUAAAUGAACUCUUUGAUUUUGGAGCCGAUGCAAAACAGCUAGCUUCUAUGCUGAUGUAUGGCUUCCGUCUAGUCUGAAGCUUCCAUUUGCAUGAUGCGCCAAGGGCAAUUCUCAACCUGAGCAUAAUUUACAGAACAAGUUUACUGAACCUCUAAGAUUCAUUCAGCAACUGAUGAAUUAAACAAUCAAACUUUUUAUCAGAAAGUUAUUCAUUUUCUUAAUAUAUUUAGUUUUGCUCAGGUCACAUCACACGCUUGUCACACUCUUAACUUCUGAAACCAACAAAAAGAAUUAGGCGGUUUCAAAAAACGGUCAUCUAAUGGAACCUGCCAUAUUUGUCAAGCUAACUAAGAGUUUUCUUCACCUGUUCAACCUAUAAAAAUUUUUAAAACAAUUAUAAUCUACUAAAAAAAUAUUUUUUUUUUUAUAAAACUAAUAAUUGGCUAUAAAUAAAGGACAAUAUAAUUACCAAACCAGAAAUUACUAAUGCCACAGCUAGAUAUGUUAUUGACUUUUGAUUUGACAAUACUAUCUUAUAUGUAAGACGAUACUAUCCUUAUAUGUAAUAUUCUAAAUUUAUCAUUUUAUACUCUUAAAACUAUUCUUAUUAACUUCAAAUCUAUUCAUCUAUUUUUAUAUCAAUUCCAUACACAAUUUUUUCAUAUAGCCGACCCCCACUAGUUUGGACCUAAGGCUUGGUGGUGGUGGUUGUUUUUCCAUAUACAAUUUUUUCAAGAGAGAAAUAUUAACUUUGACAAACAUAUAAUAGCUAAACCUAAUACUUGUUUCAUCCUAUUAAUUAAUAAUGAAAAUUCGAAAAUCAGGACAACAAAAUUUAAAUGCAGAAAUAAAUAAAUAAAUAAAUAAAAUGAAAUUCUCAAGAAUACAUAUCAAACUAAAAAAUUUAAUUGUCUUCUUUAAUAAAAUAAUAAAAAAUGAACAUUAUUUUUCCCCAUUAAAUUUAUUCUUCUAAAUCCCUGAAAAUGUUAUUUUCCAGUUAACUCUGGUACCUGUUUAUAAAAUUAAAAAACAUUUCACAUGAACUAUAUAUUUUAGCUGCUUUUAAAAAUUUCACAUGACUAUACCAAAAUUUCCCUAAUCUCAGUUCCUUUGCAACCAAAACAUUUUUCCAUUCCUAUGGUUUGUUUAUUAACUGAACUAGCCAGUAUCUUACUGGUAGAUAAUUUGAUUUGGUAUAAUUUACUCAAAAAUCAAGUUGAAAAAAAAAAGCAGAACAUAUAUCCUCUCUUAUAAAAUGCUUACCGUGAGGAAAAUGAUAAAAUUACAGUCACGCAAAGAAGGCAAUACCAAAUAUGGAUUUUCUUUCUUUUCUUGCAUGUUCCCAAACAACUAAAGUGAUCUCUAGCCAUAUUUUCUCAGCCACCAAAAAAUUAGAAAAUAUAAUUACAGAAUUCUUAAUAUGCAAUUCGCAAAGUAAAACAAAUUAAAGAAGAGCUAAAAAAUGAAAAAGAAGGAUUGCUCACAUAGAUGUUGACAGUGAACUAAGUCGCUGCAGGACUGCACCUGCCAACAUAUUGAAUGGUGGUCAAAGACCGCUUUUGCUUCCUCCCAUUUUGAUUACUGCACAAAAAAUACCGGCAUAAAGGCUGUCAAGUAAAAGAGAUUCUCUAGAUUUCUGUCUCAGAUUCUAUAUCAAACAUGAAAAUAGAAAUUUGAGGCAAACGACAAUCAAUUUAUCUAAGAAAAGAUGAGUAAACAAAAAGUUAAAGUGAAAUGUGUCCAAUAAUGAACCUGAAUUCACAAAAUCAAAAAUAAUUGUUGCCUUCUUCCCUUCUAACUCUUCAAAAUUUCAGCUCUUUCAUUCAAAAUCUUCCCAAUCUCUUGCUAAUUCUGGAUAUUCAUGGAGUCUGGAAUCAAACGGUUAACAGAGAGGGUAGUUUCAUUUUUAUUUCAUCAAAAUUUGAUGAAAUGGAACAAAACUUGGGAUUUGGUUUGGGAAAUCACAAGGAAGUGUUGAAUUGAGAAGAAAAUAUUUAGAACUUUGAGAAGAGGACUUGGGUUGGUUUUUUGCUUAGUGACAUAAACAGGUUAGGAGGAAUGUGGCCUUUUUUUCACUCUUUUUUUGAAUGAAUUUCAAUGUUUAAGAGUAAAAGGUCAUAAAAAAAUUUAAUAAUAGUUGGACUUGUGCGGAGCUCGCCCGCAUGCAAGGUCCAACUUUAAAUAAAUAAUUAGUCAUUUAUCAGCAUAUUGUGGAUGGCAACGGGUCAGGUACACAAAAAGUGUCGUAUCCCAAUCCAAACUCACUUAAAUAUAAGGUACCUGAAUCCAUUUAAAAAAUUACCCCUGCAUUACCCAUAUUCGUCCCAAAUUGAAUUAGCAUUACCCAUUUGCAAUCCGGAUUCAUAGAAACAACCGUUUAACACAAAAUGAACAAAAUGCAUACAACACACAAUACACUAAACUGUAUAAACACUUGAUUAUUAUCGAACCCUUAUAAAAUAAAGAAAAUAGCAUGCUGUUAUUUUUACCACUCCAAUUGUCAGAAAUUGUAUGUAAUUACAUAGUUUUUACAAUUCAAAGAAACUUCAAGAAUCUACUAACUUAAUUAUAUAAUGGAGAGCAAGAAUGAAUACAUUUAAACUCCAGGUCUACGAAUAUGUGGCCUGUAAGUAUUUGGUCAAUAUAGUUUCUUGAAUCCCUGGACAAAAGAGACAGCUUAUUUGAUGAAAGUAAAAAUUAUUUAACUGCUGAAAAAGAAGAAUGCAUAAUGCAAUAAUGCAAUGUAUAGAGAAUGUAUAAUACAGUGUUGAUAUAUGGUUGUUAUUAGUUGUGUUUUCCAAUGCUUAUUUGUAGCAGUUCAUAUUAGUGAAGGUCUCACUGAUUACCUAAAUAAACCAAAUGAAAUAUAGGCAAUUUGAAUUAAUUAGUAAUCUUUAUUUCCUUGUGUAUGAGCUAAUGGAAAAUUUCUACAAAGGAGAGAGGGAGAAUAUGAAGAAUCAAUGUUAGAUUGUUGUUCCAGGAUUAGAUUUCAUUCCCAUCUGAACUUUGGCAGUCUUACAAAUCAGUUUCUAAUUUUGUGAAACUUAUGAAAAUUGUUCUGCAUGCCUACUGUAUAAAGUUUAUGCAUCUUUUGUCAGUUCAACUAAAGAAAAUAACACAUGCUGAUUUUACUUUAAAUAUUAAAUAGUAGCAUUUUUACGGAAAAGCCUUACCCUACAACCUACUGAGGAUGAUUUUGAUCAGAAGAUACAUAUUUAUUGAUCAAUCGUUUAGGUUUUUCAAUGAAAUUUUUGAAAUGCAUUUAGAAUUAAAUGCUUAACAGAAUCAUUUAGAUCUUUAGAAGUUAAGGAUUUUAAUCAACUUGCUUCAAUUUCACUCAUUUAUGUAUAAUUUUCUUGGUGUCUUUGCAAUUACAGAUACCAUCCAACACUUAAGUACAAAGAAUUCUGUACACUGGGAUGAUUCUAUUGUCAUUAAACUUGUUUUGACCGGCAUUUUAAGGAACUGAUUUUUCUAAACAAGAUUUACAAUCAGCAACAAAGAUAAAAAGAAACAAAAGAAAAGAAAUAAAAACUGCAGAAACAGGACAAGACAAAACCAGCAAAAAGAACAAAAGGAAACCAAAAACCAAAAAGAACUAAAGCGGCAAAACCAAACCAAAGAAUAAAAUAAGGCCCAAAGCAGCAGUAACAGUUUAAAAAAAAAAAAAAAAAAAAAAGAAAAAAGAAAAAAAGAGCAUAAGAAACCAAUUAACUUAGUCUAUCAUAUCAACGGCUAUUUACAUUCACAAAAUCAAACCACAUACUCAAUUUACAGUAAAGUGAAGAAAACAAAAAACGAAAUUAUUGACAGAGCUUUAACUUUAACAGUAACAAAAAUACCUUGCGAUUUGCGAGCCACAGAGCUAGUCUUGAACGAGACACAGAGCUUGUCGGCGGAGAUCGCCGCUCUUGAGGCGCGCUCGUCACUCGUCGGAUAAAAGGCAACAGGCAAAUCGAAGAUGAGAGACUAAGGCAACAAGAGAAAAAAUCAGAUCGAGGCAAAACUACUGCCUCGCGAAGAACGAAUUGAACUUUGAUUUAAAAAGUUAAUUCAAAACGACGUGGUUUGGUUAAGGCAUUUUCUGUGUCAAAACUUCGUCGUUCUGGUAGUGAAGUGUUAGUUAUUUUCUUCCUUUCUUUUUCUGGCCUAAUACAGAGAGAUAAUUAAAAUUUUAUGUAAUUCAGUUAUAAAUUUAAUUUUUAUAUCUGAUAUGCAAAAACUAAAAAUUUAAAUUUUGUGAAUUUAAUUCUAUAAUAUAAUUAAAUUAAAUUUCAUAAAAAAGUGAAAUUUUAGAAUGAAUUUCAUAAAUUUAAACAAUAUAUUUUCGCAGAUAAUAGUAGAUAAGUUCUUGAUGGGCUUAAAUCUAUGUUUCUGUAUUUUACACAACCAGCAAUUGAACAGAAAAAAAAAACAUUCGACCAUAAAAUGACAAGCAUCUAUUCCAAUCAAAAUUAUUAGUGAUCCAAGUUAUCAAAUGGGCCUCAAAUAUACACAAAGCCCAAACACAACAGAUACACACUCAUCAUCCUUAUAUUUAUUCAUCAAGUGGGCCCAAGCCAGCAGGAGGCGGUUACCAAAUGUACAAAGUUAAAUAUAUAGAGUAGAUACAACAGCUGCUAGCAUCUGCUUCUUGAAUGUUUUCACUGUAUUGAACUAUUCUACAAUACAAUUUUUGUCUCCAUUAAUACACUGUUUCAGUUUUCUCUUUCUCUGGUGAAGAAUGCUUUGAUAAUCUCAUCAGUUAGCAAACCUCAAUAAUCUUUUUUGUUGUUAAAAUUUUGAUUAACAGCCUAGCCUGAUAUGGUGGUGACAAUUCUAAAUGAAAACAUAACCAAUAAUUAAAAAAAAAAAAAAAAGAAAUAAAAAUACCUAUGCUUUUAUUGUGUUUCAGCCAUUCAUUUUGUUAAGAUUUGAUGGGAGGUUUAAAUUGAUAUAAUCUUAAAUUCAUAUAUUGAAUUGAAAAAAUUACGAAAUCAAAUCGAAGAAAAAGUAAACUUUCUUUUUAUUUGAUGCAAAUUGAAUUGCUUAGCGUGACUAAUAAACUACAGGCCCAUUUUGGCCCAUUCUCCAAAUUUUGGGCCCUCAUACUGGGCCUAAACGCACUCGUACUUUUACCCAAUUCCUCUUUGGCAAAAACCCAUAACUAUAAAUUUCCAUCUAUCUCUGGUAGGAAAAAGAUAAAAUUCCAACUAGUCCAUGAGGUUCAGCCAACUGUACAGUUUCAUCCCAAUAUUUAAAAAUAAAAGGAAUUAAGGAGUCCCAAAAUUUAAUUCCAUUAAUGAAAUAAUAUUUUUAUUUCCAUAGACCUGGUUUAGGUAGGUCUAAACCUUAUUAUAAUUAAUAUUAAUUAACCAAUAGUCAAUAAAUAUUUUUUUGAAAAAUAUAAUUCAUUAACUAUAAUAUCAAACAUUACGAAUAAUCAUAUAGAUCAGACAAUGAAUUUUACUAUCAUAAGCUAAUAGAGUUCGUUGAUCUUUUAACAAGCUAAAAUAAUUAUAUAUAUUCUUUUGAAUGAUAAUACUAAAUAUAAGAAAAUAUAAUAUUAUAUCUUUCCACUUGAAGAUGAUCUUGAUAAAAGAUAUAAAUAUUCUUAUUACCAACUAGUUUUUUAAUUGAUUUGGAUAGUAAAAUAAUAAUUACUUUGGAUCUUUUAUAUCUGAAUUGUUUUUAGCUAAAUUGUUUUUUCAAGGACUUGUAAUAUAUAACAUACACAUAUGAAUUCUCGCCAACAUACAUCAAUAGUAUCAAUAGAGGAACAAGUCGCACUAUUAGACUUCGUUGAUCAAAGAUUCACAUUUACAAAUCAAUAUCAAAAGUUUCCAACCAAAUAAAAUCAAAUAUUAUACUUUUAUUUAUAAUAAACUCUCAUACAGAAGGAACAAAAAGCUCUAAAUACGGAAACAAAAUAACAAUAAUAAAAAUCAAAACAAAUAUAUUAUAUGAUAAAUAGAUAUGAAUUUAUUAAAAUGGCUAAGAGAAUUUAAAAGAGAAAAAGAGAAGAAGUUGAAUCAAAGGAAAAAAAUAGAAUGUAGGAGAUUAUCACUAAUCAACAUCAAGCGGCCACAAACUAAAUUUUUAAACAUUUUAUAAAUUUCAAUCAAUGACUUCGUUAUUUUAGGUGUCUCGUCAUGCCGAAGAGAUAAUAAAAAAUCAAAAUUCGAAAGACUCAAGAAAGAUCAUCUUUUCACCAUUCAUAUUUAAAUAUAAUAUAUAUAACGGCAGAGCUUCUUAUGGUCGAAAGGUCGCUGGGCAAUUCUAAGAAAUUUUUUUUAAAAGAAAAAUUCUUAUGAAAUAUUAUAUUUUGGUCUUUAAAAAUAUAAAAAAAUUAUAUUUUGAUACCCUAAAAGUUUUUAAAACUUCAUUUAGCUUGUUUAAAGUAAUUGUCUUAGUUCUGUGCUGAAUAUAUAUAUAUAUAUAUAUAUAUAUAUAUAUAUAUUAAAUAUUCUAUGUAUUAUCCCUAUCACAUUUGCAUUGAUAACCAGGACAAGAAGCUUGUAGCCAAAUGUUAGAGUACUGACAACUAAUUCCCACUGUGAAAUGUUUUAUUAGCCUCUGAUCAUCAAUGAUUAAGUGGCCCACUUGUUUUAAUUUGUCCAGAACUUAUGGAAUAAUUAAUCAAGUAUUAAUAAUUAUUUUUGGAAGCGAACAUUCUAGAUAUACCUUUUUUCUCUUGUUCAGCUACUGCAACAUUUUUGUUGGAGAAUCAAGAACUUAUGGCUUAAAAUAUUCGCAUAUACUAUAUUAAGUACUCCCAUCUUCAAAAUAGUUCAUUUUCUAUUUUUACACAGAUUAAAAAAAUAAUAAUUAUUAUGAGUUUUGACAAUUCUAUUCCUAUAACUUUUCUAUCAUACCAUUUUAAAUAACAUAUGAGCAAUUAUUAUAUUUAAAUAAUAAGUAAAAAUUAAUGAGGGUUAUUGAAAAUAAGAAAAAAUUUAAUAAGGGUAUAAUAGACAAUUUCAUGAUUAACUAUAAUACAAAAAAGAAAAAUAAACCAUAUUUUAGGACAAAUUAAAAAGAAAAGAUGAAAUAUUUUUUUGAGGCAGAUCUAUUAUUCUUCUCACAAUAAUGAUUUUAUAAGUACAGUUUUUUUUUUUCUUUAUACUCAAAUGAUAUGAGAAGCUAAUUUUAUAAAAAACGAAGAUUAAUUUGUCUUUGAAUUUGUUUAAUAGGAUAAAAAAUGUCAAGAUUUGAUCUUUUUAGAUCAAUUUAACAUCUAAACUUAUUUAAAAUAAUUAAAAAGAUCAGAUUUAAUAUUUUGGAUUAAUUUAGUCCCUGACUAUUCGCUGUAUUUAUAACGUGAGAAUUCUUAUAUAGACAUUUAUUAAAAUUAUAGUUGGAAUCACGUGGUAUAAUUUAUUGAAAAAUUUAAUUAAAUAUCAAAUUGAGGAAAUAAUAUAUGAAAUAUAUUAUAUCCCUCUUUAUCUUGAUCUAUCAUUUUAAAUUCAUAAAUAUGUACUAAUUUAAAUAUUUUAAAAUUGAACUUUACUACUAGAUUAUUGCAUAUGCAGUUCAUGCAUUUCUCAUGUUAAACGAAUUCAAAGUUACACUACAUAUUUUAUAAAUUUACUGUGUUAAAGAAAUAAUAUUUUCGUGAUUUUAAAAUUCUAUUCAGAAGUAUUGGAAAAGUUUGAUCUAGAUAUUCCUAUUAAAUUGAAUCAAUUUAUUAUUUUGUAAAAAUCAAAAUAAAUUUAGUGGCUGAAUUGAUUUAAAAAAAAUCAAAUCUGACUUUUAAAUCCCAUAAAUAAGUUCGUGAGCUAAAUUAGUCUUUAUUCCAUUUUAUAACCACAAAGUCGUGUUUAAAAUUUUAAACAAUAUGGUUCUUAUGUUGCCUGUAACGGUUUCGUAUGCUCUAGUAGCUUUCUCUCUUUUGUCCAAGGUUUCUUGUCCUGCCAACAUGGAGAGGGACUUUAAUCAUUUGUCAAUCGCUGAUGAUGAGGAAGAAGGCUUGCCUGUUAACGCAUCUUCAGAUGCCACCAAGUCUACCUACGAAUUUUGUCUUGUCGACAUGUUCUUGACUUGCGGGACUGUGAAUUUUUAGUCCAUGCGAAACACUUUCGCAGAUUUGUGGCAUUCGCUCGGAGGGAUUAUAAUUACUGAUUUGGGAGCCAAACGUUUUCUGUUUCGGUUCUACAACAAAGUGGAUUUGGAUAGGGUUUUGAAUGGUGCCCCAUGGACUUUUAAUCGACACUUGCUGGUAUGGGGUCUGAUAAAAAAUGAUGAGGACCCGCUGCUGAUUCCUUUGCUAUACUCGGAUUUCUGGGUUCAGGUACAUAACUUGCCGGUCGGGUUAAUGUCUGCGGCAGUGGCCAAAUCAAUAGGGAAUUUCAUUGGUACUUUCAUUGAAUAUGACAUUAAGACUGUUCAUUUUGAUCCCAAUCAAUUUAUGAGACUGCAGGUUAAGUUGGAUAUUCGUACCUUUACGUAGAGGAAAGAAGUUGAUUGAUUCUAAUGGUAAUGUUCAUUAUGUCCAAUUCCAGAAUGAAAAACUUCUUGUGUUUUGCUAUACUUGCGGUCGCUUGGGACACACCGAUUCGUUCUGUAAAUUACAAUUGCACAAGUCUAAAAAAGAACUCAAGCCAGCUUGGGAUGAUCGAAUAAGGGUGCCGAUUCGCCGGAAAAUUCAGCAAACAACCAUGGCUGCAUGAUGAUAGAAAGUUUGAUGAUACUCCAAUCCAGGCAGAUAUUUCGGGAUGUGUGGGCGGGAAAUAUGGAGUUUUGAAAUCCCAACAAUUUUGAGCUUCCUUUUAUGGCACGAUAGUUAAUUUUAAUGUUAGUACUAAUCCCAUAGGCUUUAUGGAGACUGAUACAAAUUCUUUGAAUGGGUCCAAUACUGAUGGGCUUGACGAGGAUGUGGUCUUAGAAGAUGUGGGUGAAAUGAAGAAGAGGCCCCGAUGAUCCUUUUUGGUGAGGGUAUUAAAGUGGCUAGUGAUCCUUGAGGAGGAUCCUUUUUGCUGUAGAAUCAACGUGGUAGCUCUACUGUGGAUAUUGCCGUGAAGUACCUAUCGAAUUGGAGAGAAGUGUGUCUGCCACAUGAAGCUGCUGUGACGUCCAUUUCAGUGCUUCAUUGACAUGCACAUAAAGCACCAUCCAUUCACGCUCACAAUUUUGUUUGGAUUUGCUUCAUUGAUGGAUCAGUGUUCACAACCAUGGAUUUCAUUGGCUAUGCUUAUGUUAUUGAGGACAGUGAGGGACGGUUUCAACGUGCAGUGUCAGGGUUUCAGGAAGGCAAUGGCUCGGCGGUGGUGAUGGAGGCUAUAGCUCUUCGUUCCUGCCUUUCAUAUGCUCGUGAUUUUCUAUCUUUAAAUGGGUGUAUUUUUUCAAAUUGCCAAAAUCUUAUGAAUGCUCUCAAAUCCCAUUGUUUUAGAUAAUUUUGAAUUUGGUUUGAUUGUUCUUGAUUGUAAGCGAAUUUUAGAGUCUAGACAUGAUAUUACUGUCAGGUGGAUUCAGAGACAAGCUAAUAUGGAUGCUCACACUCUUGCUAGAGCAUCUAUACAUCAUGCUCGUUUCCAAAUUUGGGAUGAUGUUCGUCUUGUUAGUUAGAUUUUUUCCAUUGAGAUAAUGCAAUAUUAUUUCAUUUAAAACAAAUUUAAAACAAUAUAUAAAUUUUAUCAAACAAAUUUAAAUUAAUAACUCUAAAAAAUUUUAAUUUUUAGAUAUUAAAUGGUGUUAUUAGAUGUAAACUAAAUUUAUAUUGUUAUUUCAAUUUAAAUGUCUAAACAAAAUUCUCAAAUUCUUUUUUUGUUAAUAUUUUUUUGGAGAAAUAUAAUUCAUUAAUAAUAAAAGUAUUACAAAUACUCAAUUAGAUCAAAUAUAAAACUUAUUAUCAUAAUUAAUAAAAAGUUCGAUGAUCCUUCAACAAUAAAAGAAUUAUCUAUAUUUUUUUGAAUAGUAAAACUAAAAUUAAAAGAAACAGUUGGAGUUUUCCGCUUGAAAAAAACUUUGAUCGAUAUAAAUCUUCAUAGUAACAACUGAUCCUUUAAUUGAUUUGGACGAUAAAAUAACUUUUUCGAACUUUAUAUGCUUGGAUUGCUUUUUCAAAAAUUUGUUGCAUAUAACAUAUGCGGAUGAGUUUAAACCACUAUGGGUUAAUAGCAUGAAUGAAGGAACAGACUGUACUAUCAGGUUCCAUUGGUUGAAGAUACACAUCAGUAAAACAAGAUCGAAAUUCUCCAAUCAAAUAAAAUCAAAUGUCAUACCUUUUAAUAAUAAAUCUUCACAAGGAACUAAACCCUCUCAAAAGAAUGGGCAAAAAAACUCCAAAUAUGGAGACAAAACAAAUCAAUAACAAAAACAACAAUAACAAAAAUAUAUCUAUUAGAAGAAAAUGGAUUUGAGUUUAUUAAAAACAAAUAAAAGAUUAGGAGCCAGAAGAAAAAAAAAAAAAGUAUGGGGCUACUACUGAUUAACAAUGGCAACCUCAAACAAAAACUAUGAUUAAAUAAAUCAGAGAGAAAAGAGGAGGAGAGAAACCCUAAAACUAUCGAUUUUUUUUUUGUUAAUAUUUAAAAUGACGGUUUUUUUUUUUUUUUUUUUUUUUUUUGCGAAUGUUAAACAAAUCCCUAAAUAGUAUAGGUAAUAAAAUAAAAAAAAAUAUGUAUCACUUUAAUAAUAAUUUCAUGUUAAAAAAUGUUGGAAAAAUAGAGCUCUUGAAUAGGAAAAUCCGGUAUCGAAUUUUUGCUCUGCUAGGGUUUAUCACUUUAACAUUUAAAAAAAAAAAAAAACUAUUUUCAAGACAGUUCAUUUUCUAUUAUUUCUUUUUAAUAUUGAAUAUUAAUUAAAUAACUUACUUUUAAAAAUAUUUUUCCUUGACUUUUUUAAACACUUUAAAUAUAGAAAAAAUUCAAAAAUAUUUUUUAAAUAAAUUAUUUUCAAGAAAAAAUCUUGGAUAAUGGAAAUUUGGAAAAUUAGAUAAAUAAUAAUAAAACCUUAUGCACAGCAAACAUUUGUUAUAUGGUGUCCCAAGAAUAGUAAAACUUGUGGCUGAAUUUUGUAUUUCUUUUUUAGAUCACUCUCUAUCACGCUCUUAACAAUUCCCAUUUGCUGAAGUGGUCCCCAUAAAAGUAUUCUUGAUUGAGAUUUGAAUACGAAUUUCAAUUAAGUAAGCUUCAAGUUACAAACAUCAUCUUCACAAAAUUUCCUUCAUUGGUGAAGCAUUUAUCAUUUGGUAAGUUUUCUCAGAUUUAACACUAUGUUUGGAAUUGGGAGAUUUUAUGAUAGGAAGAAAAUUUUGAAUGGAAAAUAAGAAAAGAAAGCUAUUUUCCUCCUGCUUAAAUGUAAAUAAAAUUUGAAAGGAAAGAAAAUAUUACCAAAAUCCUUUCUGUCCCAUAUUUUAUUAAUCUCUCCAAAUUGGCGAGAAAAUAGGAGAUAAAUGUAUAAAAGGAUAGAAGUGUAAAUUUACAACAAUACAAUUUUCUUUCCUCCAUAUUUUAGACUUUUCUAAAUAAUAUAUAUAUAUAUAUAUUUUUUAUUUUUUUUUUUCCUUUCAAUCUAAACAUAAAAUGGAAAAUAAAGAAAAAAAGAGCUCUUGUUUUACUCGGCACAUGUACAAAAUAUAAGACAUCAAUGUGUUGAACAUGCAAAUCCCAUGCAUGUAUCUGCCAUGCAGGGAUUCAUAAUUAGCUCAACUGAAAAAUUGUUAAGAUCUUUCUUCAUUGUCUUUUUGUCAUAUAAAAAAACACGAGAAAAAUAAAAUAAAACAAGAAAAGGAAGCGCAUGCACAUGCCUGUAAAUGUAUAAUAUACAUCCAUCCAAAUGGGCAAAGAUUAGAUGCCUUCUCACCAUUUUUCCGCGCAUCCAAAACCGUAAGGGGCCACUCACACUUGAUGUGCAGGAUACUUAAAUCAGUUACGCAGCCAGAAAAUUAAAAUUAGAGAUAAAAAAAUUUUCAAGAGUUAACAAGAGUGAGAUUAAAAAUUUUAUUAUUUUAAAAGGAAAAAUAAAAAAUUUUAUUAUUUUUUAUUAUUAGACUAAUUUUAAAAGGUAAAAUAAUAUAUUUUCAUAUAUUAUUAGACUAAUUUUAUUUUAAAAUUUAAUAUUAUUUCUUCUAAGUAUUUUUUUAUGAAUAGAAAUUUUAAUAGAGAAUUAGAGAUCAUCCACUGGAUUUAAAAGUUAAAAUAUAUUUAUAAAUUAUUUCAUCUAUUACACUUAAAUUAUCAACUUGUAGCUUCUUCAUACAAAAUAAGGAGAUAAUUAAUUUAUCUUAAAUCUAUAAAAUUUUCAUUUGAAAUUAUUUUAAUAUUUAUUUUAUAAAAUAUUAUUAAGAGCGAAUGAAUAGUGAGAUCCAAUAAAGAAGAGUAAAAAAUUAAAAAUGUAAUAUACUCUUUUCUAAAUUAUAUAAAAAAAUGACACUUAAAAUAGAACAAAAAAAAAUCUUAAAAGUUAAACAGAAUAUCGGAAGUAUAAAUAAUAGAUUUUAUUUUUUAUUUUUUAAAAAUCGAAUUAAUCAGAGCAAUACUAACAAAAUAAUAUUGUAAAGUUACUUAGGACAUCCCUUCCUCUUAUCUCUCCGUGUGGUCGCUUUCAUUGGCUUCAUAAUCAUACACAUAUUCAUGGCCCACUUACGAAGCCAUCUCACAACCACAAAAUAUAAUUUUCAAAAGAAAAAUGACCGUUCGGACAGCUUGUUAAGUUUUUCCACACUUCUUCCUCACUUUCCCACUCUCUAUAACGGCUACAAUAGAAGGCUCUGGAACAAUCUACCUGUUUUAAGACGGCGGGACACGUGUAACCAAUCACAUGGGCUGCUUUUGCUCGAAAAUGGAGAAGAAUAAGCUGUAGUGUUACUCUUAGAUGUGAAUUAUUUGCUUCAAAUGAUGCUUUAGUUGUUUCUAGUGAAAAUAGAGCAAUAGUAAUUUUUUUUUUUUACCAUUUAAUAUGAUGUACAAUGAAUUUUUUACACUAUGUACUAUUAUGCAGCAGUUACAACAUUUUAAAGUCCAUCAAAUAGUAUAAUCCAUUAGAAAAUCCAAUAAAUUUCUCAUUGCUCUUUUGAAUAAUAUUUACUAUAUUUGUGCAUAUUAAUUAUUAAAAAAAAUUUAUUUACACCCGGUGUUUGGAUCUAUUUAUACAUCAAAUCAAUCACAAAUAAUAUUUUGAUUUAAUCAAAUGUAUUUCUAAUCAUAUAUUAAAAAAAGAUAAAAUAAUAAUUUUUUUGAUUGGUUUACUGAAUGAGACUACCCAUAUACUAAGUGUUGAUAAAAAUUUCCUUAAUUAUUAUAGAAAAGUUAGAAAUAAUUCAAUCGCUUUUCCUUAACUUACUUUUUUGCACUUAAUGUAAUAAAAAAAACUUCAAAACUUUAAUAAUGUAAAAUGAUUCUUACUAAAUUGUAUAGUUAAGUCUAAUAGGAUUGUUGAGACUUUGGUUCUUAAUUUAUGAAAUUUCAAUUUUUAUCCUAAAAAAAAAAAAACAAAGUAACAGGAAAGCUCAUAUAAAUGAACAUGCAAGAGAAAAAAAAAUCAUUUUUUAACUAAAGUAAAUUAUUGCAUACUUCCCUCCUAGAUUACUCUGAAAAAUAAAAAAUAAAAUACACAAAAUUAAAAAUAUACGAGCUUUGUUAACAGAUACAUAUUACGUACAUUUACGAUUACAUUCUUAGCAUAAUAUCAAAAUUUUCAAAAACAUUACAGUUCUUUUAUUCUAUUUACAUUGUAAGUAUCUCUCUACACAGAUUAUGCCAAAAAUACUUUUUGAAUAUCAGUUAAUCAGAUUUAAAAUAGAAUCAGGUGCAGGUGAUAUUACUUAAAAAAAUAAUAUUUCACUGUGCCACGGCAUAUAAGAUAAAAGUGUAAUCGGCAUAUAAGAAGGCACAAAAUCAAGAGAGUUGACAUGAAUGGACUGCUGUUGGGAGUGUGAGUUGGACGGAUUUGAAAUAAAGAUAAGAGGAAAGGCAUAGGUGGGACCUGUUUACUGUGCCACAGCAUGAACCGUGAUGUUUUUUGCCAGCUGGUGGACACGUGAUUCUUGAUUAGUUCAAUUACUGCAUUUGAUCAAACAUGGCCCCACUCUUUGAAUAUUUAAUUUAAGAAAAAAACCCAACCAGAACACCUCAUAUUUCCUGACUGAAAUGCUUGCUUGCUGCGGGCUACUACAAUAUAUAAGAUAUAUCUAUACUGAAACCCUUUAUCUUUAAUUGGCAUUAUUAAAAGAUUUUGUAACCUUACACCGUGGAAAUACUGGAAAUGACAAUUUUAACUCAUUUAAAUGUAAAAGUUAAUUAACAAAUUUAUUUUGGAUAAUUUAUACAAAAUAUGAAUAAAUAUUGUAUUUCUAAAAUAUAAGUCGUUUAAAGUAUUGCAUGCGAUUAAUGAAUCAAUUAAUUUCGCUAAAAAUUAUAUCACUCCGUCUCAAAAUUUAAGUUGUCUAAGGUGAUAAUUUUAUCACAAAAUAUAAGUCAUUUUGAAUAUUUUAAGAAAUUACAAAUGAUUUUUUUUCUUUCAACUGUAUCCUUAUUUAUAUUAGAUAUAAUACAACGAUGUGAGAUAAAAGUAACAAUGAGAGAUAAAUGAUAAUUUGUUCAAAUUACUCUUGAUUUUGUUAGAAAUUUAGAAAAAUUAAUUGCAUUUUUAAUUCUCGUAUAAAAAUCUUAAACGACUUAUAUUUUGGACAAAUAGAGUAAUAAACUCAACAAUAAUUUGAUUUAUGAGAAUUAAUUUAAACGAUCAAAUUAUCCUUAAUCUCAAAAUCAAGUUAUUGUAUUAUGAAUAAAGUUAAAAUUGGAAAAAAGAUUAUUUGUUAAAUAUGUUUUGAAAUCAAAUAGUUUUAUGAGUUAAAAAGAUUAGAAAUAAUCAUUUUUUAAAUUCAUUUGGUGUUAAAUUGGGAUGAUAAAUUAUCAAAAAAAAAAAAAAAAUAUAUAUAUAUAUAUAUAUUUGACAAACAGAUUGAAAGCUAGUUCUUUUGAAAGUUUACUGAGAACACAAAUUACAAGCUCAUAGUAGUUAGUAGCUUGAUUAAGGAAACCCAUGAAGGACAAAAUGACAGUGGCAAAUGCCUUUGAGACCAAAAGGCUUCAGCUUCAAUUUUUUAUAACGUAACAUUUAAUAUCUUUCUCUUUAUGAUUUUUAAAUUAUUGUAAUUGCUAUCAACAGUAUAAAGUAUAGAAAAUUCAUUAUAUAUAAUAUUGAAUAAAAAAAAAAAAAGGGUGAGAAAUGUCAUUAUUUAUAGAAUUAAUUCACACAAACAUAAAUGCGAAGCUUCAUUCUACCUUUUAGGUGCUACCAUUCACUGAAGGGGAACGCACGCAUCAUUGAAGCUCAACGCCUGUCUUUUGCACUUUUCAAACUGAAUCAUUUCAUUCGUGAAAUAAAUUGAUGGAUAAAGGGCAAUUGCCAAACAAUAUUAACGGCAAAAACAAACGAGUCUUUUUUUUUUUUCUUUUUCUUUUCUUUUCAUUAGAAUAUUUAAAGUAUUGGUUAGAGGUAUAAUUAUAAAAUAUAAUUGAUCUCAUAAUUAAUCUUUUCCUUUUCUUAAUAAUAAUCAUUAUAGUCUUGCUUUUGGUGUUAUAGUUGUUUUUUUUUUUUAAUAAUAAAAAAAUAAUGUAUUAUGUCAAUCGAAUGUGAUCUGAUUGGUAUUUCCAUUCACCUUGAGAAGUUUCAAAUUUUAGAUAGUUAACUAUCAGAGUUAUCGUCAAUUUUGCUUAUAAAACAACAAGAGAGCUACCUAUAUUAUGCAGCCCACAAAAAUUCUUUAUAAUAAAUUAAAAAAAUAUUAUUUUAUUAAAAUUGAUAUAUUAUAUUUGUUAUUUAAUAGUUUGAACUAGAAAAAUAAGCUACUAAAAUUCACACAGAUUUUCUUAAAUAUAAAUUUUUACUAUGAAAAAUAGAAAUCAAAGUCAGAAAACAGAAAUGAUACAAAAUAGACACGUAAUCAUAUUUGAUGAGCAUUUCUCAUAAUACACGUUAGCUUGUUUAGCUUGUUUCGUGUAAAUUGAUGAUCCCAUUCUGUUUCGACAUAAAUGGUAUCAUUGGUUAUUAUAAACAAUUUCAAAAAUUUUUGAGCUACCACCAUAAAUACAACUUGUAUGAUUUCAAUUUUCAAAUUUAAAAGUUAUCUAAUAUCUACUUUAUCAAUGGACCUACACCUUUCCAAAUUUCUUGUUAAUCUUAUGCAUUAGAAAAUUUAGCCAAAUAAAAUUGAUAUUAUAUAUCAAUUUUAUUUAUUUUUCAAUUUAAAAUCACAAGUUUAAUUAUCGGAAAAUGCAUAUACUAUGAAGAAAAAAUUUUUAUAAUCAACUAUCCAAAAGAGAUUAGUUUACACCAAUAUAGUAGAAGAAAAAUAGUGGAAGAACACGUGACGAUUCUAAUAUGAUAUACAUAAACUAAAAAUAUUUUAAAGGAGUCUUCACUUAUAAUUUUGUUUUCAAAAUUUAAUACUUGUAAUUUGUUUUAACCAACUAUUUACUAUUUUUAAUUGAUUUUGUAAACUCAAAACUCCAUUUAUUUUUCAAAAAAUAAUUUAUUUUUAAAAAAUAUUUUUAAAAGCAAAACAUACUUGAAAAUUUGAAAUAACACAUUUUCUAUUGUUUGGUUACAAUAUUGAAAAAUUGUUAAAAAAUAUUAAAGCUUUUAUAAGAUCGAAAAAAUUUAUAAUUAUAAAAAGUUUCACAUUUUAAAAUUUUAUUAUUUAAUACAACAUAAAUAUUUAUUACGUGCUUGAUUGUAAUUUGUAUCUAAGACUUAAUCAUAUUUUAUGGACCAAAGAUAUAUUUUGUAUAGAAUCCAGAUAGAAAUAAGAGAUUAUAUUCCUAAAUCCUUCGCUAACUCUCAAUGAACUAGCAAUCACUCCAAAAUACUUAUUGAAUUGGUAUUUCAAAUAUUUAUCUAAUAAAGAUUCCACCUACAACUCUAAUGAAAAUUCUUUACCUCUGUAUAAAAGAGGGAUCAAACUCCCUACUCACACUAUUUAGGCAAUGUAAUACCAAUAUAUUUCAUUCAAUUAUAAGUAUUUAUUAUUUAUUUACUGACUUAAACAUAAAAGUGAUUGCAGGCCUAGAUGAGACCUUUAUUAUUCGUUUAUGUCUUGCAGAUUUCUACGGACCUCUCUUUAUUUUUCCUUGUUCAUUUAUGUCUUACAGAUUUUUACAUAGGCGCUAUGGAUAGAUUUUUCUAAGUCUAUCAUUAUUAAAUAUGAGAAACAAUAUUAUAAAAAAAGAUAAAUUACGAUAUCUAUCGAUGACCGUGGUCGUGAAAAUAAUGAUUAAUUAAUAAUAAAUAUGUAUUUAUAAGUUUAUAAUAAAUUUAUCAGUAUCUGAAAAAUAUUUUUCUCUUUUAGAAAAAGAAAGUUAUAAAAAUGAUUUAGUUCUCUCUUUCUUAAGGAAAAUAUCAUCUGUUGCUAAUUUUCUUGAACACUUCAAACAUUAAAAAAAAAUCUAAAAAAUAUUAUUCAGACAAGUUAUUUCUCGAAAUUAAUGGAAUCUCAAUAUUAAUUUAUUAUUAUUUUUUCCAUUGAGAAAAAAAUAUAUUAGAUUUAUUCCACUAUUGAGAAUAAAGGAAAUCAUUUAAAAUAAGAAAGCUCAAAAAGUUAUAGCCGUAAUACUAAUAGCAUUAUUUCAAAUUUGUUUGACAUGAUGUAAUCAACCGAAAUGAUAAUUACAUUAUAUGAGUAAUUACAUUAUUUGAUUAGACUUUUUUUAAUAGCGUAGUAUAAUUGAGACUACGUGUAUAAUCUUCAUCACUUAAAUUGAUGUAAUACUCAUUACAUGAAAAAACACACAUAUUGUCUAUUACAUCAAGUAAAUGGAAUACCGAUUAUAUUAAGUCAUCCCAAUCAAAACUCUACCAUUCUAGAUUAUUUAGGCUGUGUUGGGUAAUAAAGUUUUGAGUGGCUUUUAAAGUUUUGACUGGUCAAAACGUUACUUAAAAAGUUGUUUGGUAACAUAGCGUUUGGACUAGCUUUUAGAGAUUAGAAUAACGUUUUGUGAAAAGUUAACUCACGUAACGUUUAGCUUUUAGCGUUUCAUGAAAAACUACUCAAACAGCUAACAACUAAACACUAUUAAAAUAGCAAAUAGCUACCAAAAUAGCUAAUUUUGCCGAACAUAUCCUUAAUACUACCACUUCACCACCACAACCACUAUCACCGCUUCACCACCACAGCACCACCUUAACACCCACCACAACCACUGCCACAAUUACUACUCCACCACCACCACCACCACUACUGUUCCAUCACUACUUCAACCACCAUUACCGCUCUGCAACGACAACCAUCACCAUUGUUCUACCAUCACCACUACUACCACCAUCACUGCUCCAUCACUAUCACCUCAACUACCACCACCGCUGCUGCUGCCUCAACUCCUACCAUCAUCGCUCCACCACCACUAUCACCACCAUCGCUUUACCACCACCACCAUGUGGUGGUGAUAUGAUUAGUGGUGAUGGUGUGCUAAUUAUAUUACAUAUUUACAAAAAAAAAAAAAAAGAACGAUGAUUAUAUUCCUAAAUUUUCUUGAUAAUAUUAUCAAACAUAGUAAUGAAAUCUUAAUUAAAUUACGUUUUUCAUCACAUUACUUCUUUAAUUACAUUAUAUUGCCUUACAUCAAACCAGACAUAGCGUUAGCAUGUAUAUCCUCAUACACAUCAAAACUUGACUCUAAUAUCUAUGAGAAAAAUGCACAGUUAAGCCCUUAAAUUUAAUCAGUUUUUCCAUUAAACUUUUAUUUAUGAAUAUUAAGUUUUUAAACUUUUAUUUUUUUUAAAAAAAUUAAACUCUAUUUAACCGAGAUUUAAACUUUUAUUUUUUUAAAUUAAACUCUUAUUUAAUUAUGAGUUAAACAAUUAUAAUCCCAUAUGUUAUACGCGGUUGAUGGGAAAACUUAAUCGAAUUGUUAAAUCUCUUAAACUUUUAUUUUUUGAAAAUUAAGUUUUUAAAUUUGUACUUUUGUUAAAGUGAGUAUUUAAAUUAUUUCCAUUAUCAGUGAUUUGAAUUUAUUAUUUACUCACUAUCGAUUUAGAACUUAAUUUUAACUUAAAUAAAAAUUGAAGGAUUCAAUAUUGAUAAAUGAAAUUGCAGGAGCUUAGUAGACAAAACUUGAAAAAUAAGAGGCUUAAGUACAUCUUUUACCAAAUAUAAUCAAGAGUUAAUUUACACUCACACAUAGGUGAGGAUAGGAUUAGGAUAGAAGUGUGGUAAGUGCCCGCGAACUUUGAGUUAUCCAUAUCUAUAUCUGUUUAGAGCUUUAAAAUCAAUUGUAUCUAUGUUAAAUCCGUUUAAAUACCUAUAUCAAAAUCUGUUUAAAAUUUUACUGUCCGAUCCAUUCAAAAUCUAUUUUAAAUACUUGUAUUUGAUGUUCAUAAAAUUUAAACCAUUUAAACACGAACUUAUUUAAAAAAGUAUCUUCCAUUGAUAAUGGAUAAAGUAUCAAGGAUACUCACAGUAAAACUCAUUUAAUAUAAUGGAUAACAAGUAACGAAUAUUCAAACUCAUUUAGUAAAACUCCUGAAUUCAAACGACAGGAUUUGCAAGUGAAGAGAGAUGGAACCUAAAACGGUUGGCUAUGUACUCAAUGUAGAUUCACUAACAAAGUACAACAAAUGCAAAUACCAAGUAAAAAGGAACAAAUGGUUAAGAAUUCAGACAAAGUCCUAACUUCAAAGUUCAAAGUUCAAACCAUAAAAUCAUUUCAGUAAGGAGAAAUCAAACUAAAACUUUUGAAUGUUAAAAUUUCAACUUUAACCACAGAACCAAAACCCUGUUAGCUAUGUACUAACACAAAGUGCAAGAAACACCGAGUACGAACUCAAGCACAGUAAGAUUGAGCUGGAUUGCCCAUAACCCAAAAACACUAGAAUGUGUCUGGUGUGGAGGGGUCCAGAAGCCAACUUAAAUAGAAGCAGAGGGACAACACUGGAAAUUAUGAUUUAAAAAAAAAAAAAAAAAAAAAACUAAAAAGCAAAGAGAGAAACAGACAAGAAAUAACCGUUGUAGGGGUGGCUUUUUGGGUUGGAUGCCAGGCUGACGCUUGAGCCCCCCUCAGAUGAUUCAGCUCACAUGGUCUAUCUGUACACUCUGGGUCCCACCCUCCACUUUCUCUCUCUACUACCCUCUUUGGAUUAGUUGUCAAAUGAUCCUUUUAUGUUAUCAUAUUACACACUUUCAUCCUAUCUAUUUCAAAGUUACUAACUUUAGUUAAUGAGAUUUAAUCUGCCAAAUGCAUAAAUUAAUAUCUAAAUUUUAUAAGAAGAGUCUAGUAGCACCUUUAAACGUUGAAAACUUCUUUUCGUAAAAUUAUAGCUAGUAAAUGCCUUAAUUUAAAAAACCGUAUUUAUUAAAUACUUAAACGUAUAUAAUUAUGUUUAUUAAAUAUUUAUCGGAUGAUUUAAAAUAUAAAAAUUUUAUUAUUUAAUAAAUUAUAUUAAAAGUUAUAUAAAAUGUUACACUUAUUGAAUAUAUUAUUUAGUAAUUGUUGUAAAAUUAAAAACCCUGUUUUUUUUUUUUUCAAAUUAAGUUGAUACUUAGUCUCAACUGUGCUUUUAUCCAUAAUUUUAAAUAAUUUAUUUGUAGAAACCCUAAAAACCAUAUAUUUUUCGUUGACAUAUCAUAAAAAUUAAAAUUAUUAAUUUCAAACUGUUUAAAUACUGGUAAAAUGUAAAAUAAUGCAAAUGGUGACAGUUUUUGCAACCAACUUUUUUUCUUGGAAAUUCUCUGUAUUACAAUCGUCUUUUAUAAUAUUUUUAUUAAUAUUAUUUUGUUCCAAACAUGCCCUUGUCUUAUCCAAAUAAUGCCCCGUACUCUCCUGCCCUUCUCUCUAUUCUUAUAAGGGCAGUGGCCUGUGGAUCAAAGACCACAGUCCCAAGAGAGAAGAGAAAGACAAAGCAAUUAAGCUCACAAGAGAGAAGCUCUUCUAUUUUCUAGAGUAAGAAAGAAGAAAGAAGACGAUGGCCAAGGAAGUAAGUGAAGAAACGCAAACUACCCAUGCAAAGGAUUAUGUUGAUCCACCACCUGCGCCACUGAUCGACAUGGCUGAAAUCAAGCUCUGGUCUUUCUACAGAGCUUUAAUAGCUGAGUUCAUAGCCACUCUCCUUUUCCUUUACAUAACUGUAGCCACUGUAAUUGGCUACAAGAAACAAACUGAUCCAUGUGGUGGAGUUGGUCUUUUGGGCAUUGCAUGGGCCUUUGGUGGCAUGAUCUUUAUCCUUGUUUACUGCACUGCCGGUAUAUCUGGUAAGUAAAAAAAAAAGGAACUAUUUCUCUAAGUUACUAGUACCCAAAUGGGUAUUUAUUAAGUUUUAGGUUUCUGUGAAGUUUCUUUGUGGAUUUGGUCAUUCAACUUGAAAAAUAACAAAACCCAUUUGUUUUCAAGACCUGUUUAAUAAUGGGUUUUCCUUAUUUUGGUUACAGGUGGUCAUAUUAACCCAGCAGUGACCUUUGGGCUGUUUUUAGCAAGAAAGGUGUCACUAAUUCGAGCCUUGGCUUACAUGGUGGCUCAGUGUUUAGGUGCCAUCUGUGGUGUAGGGUUGGUCAAAGCUUUUAUGAAGAAUCCAUAUAAUCAUCUUGGUGGUGGUGCUAACUCUGUAAAUACCGGCUAUAGCAAAGGAACUGCUUUGGGUGCUGAGAUCAUCGGCACUUUUGUUCUAGUCUACACUGUUUUCUCUGCAACUGACCCCAAGAGAAGUGCACGUGACUCACACGUUCCUGUAUGUUAUCAACCAUAGCCUAGUAUAGCUCUCCUCUUUCAUGUCAAAGAGUUCAAAUCUAAACUUUGUUUUGGUUAUGUUUGGUUGCAGAUUUUGGCUCCACUUCCAAUUGGGUUUGCAGUUUUUAUGGUUCACUUGGCUACCAUACCCAUUACUGGUACUGGUAUUAACCCAGCGAGGAGCUUCGGUGCUGCUGUUAUUUACAACAAUGAUAAAGUCUGGGAUGAUCAUGUAAGCCUCUUGAUAGUCAACCAGAAACUUAUUUUUCUUGAUUUUAUGGUUGUUUUGAAGUUGGUGCUUUUUAACAUAAAACAUCAGAAGUAGGUUAAUUUUCAAGAAUAUGUUUAUCUUCUUGAUAAAAUAAUUUAAUUUCCUUUUUAAUUAUUUUUUGGAUGGGCAGUGGAUUUUCUGGGUUGGACCGUUUGUUGGAGCAAUUGCAGCAGCUGCAUACCAUCAAUACAUACUGAGAGCAGCAGCUAUCAAAGCUUUGGGAUCUUUCCGCAGCAACCCCACCAACUAAAAUGAAAGAAAGAACGAAAGAAAGAAAAACAAGAAAAAAAAAAAAAACCAAAGGCUUUGUGUAGCUAUCUUUAGUCUCUAGUCUUUCUUUUUCUCUAUUUGUUUGUUUGUUGUGUGUAAUGAGAGGAUUAUGAUGAUGACCCUUCUUUCUUCUUUCUUUUUUUACUUCAUUUUUUCUUUUCUUAUUGUUCUUUUGUAUCAUUGUUAAUGAGUAGUGCUGUUCUUUUUUCUUUCUUUUGAUCAUAUUUAAUUGCUUUGUGCAGUGUAGAACGUUCUCUCUCAACACUCUUUUAAUAAUUAGCCACUAAAUAAACUACCAGCUAACUAAAUUUUUAUCCUCUCGACCUUCAUUACAGCGGUGCUAGUGAAUUUGUGAGUAGCGGUUAGGCCAUCUUCGGGAACAGUUUUUUCAUAUGGC